GACAUUGUUUGACUAGAGUAGAUGCUUUGAUCAUUUUCCAUUGUCUCAUGUGGAUAUAGAGAAGGCUUUGGAGGUAUUUCCAGGCUUUCAAUGUCUCCUUCAAGCAUUUCCACUACUUUGUUCAUUGAGGGACGAUCGCUUGGUUUCAACUGUAUACACCAAAGUGAAACAAUGAUCAUCUUUUUUGCUAUUUUAUUUUCCUCCUCUGUGACACCUUCCAUUUCUAUAUCUGUCUCUUUUCCAAGUUGAUUAUAAAUCCAAAAGGGAAAGUAAAGUUGACUUGAAUGAUCUGCAUGGGGAUUUAGGUUCUUCCUCUUACUUGCCAUCUCCAUCAAAAGCAUUCCAAAGCUAUAAACAUCAGCCUUGUGGGAUAUUCCUCCAAUAUUUUUAUAAAAUAAUUCUGGAGCCAUAUACCCAAUUGUCCCUCUUGCCGCUGUCAUAGUCACAAUGCUAUUAUCUAUUGGAUAUAGUUUUGCCAAUCCAAAGUCAGAGACCUUUGGGGUGAAUGUUUCAUCAAGAAGGAUGUUAUGGGGUUUGAUAUCAAAAUGCAAAAUUUGCAUCUCGCACCCAUGAUGGAGAUAAGCAAUCCCACGAGCUACUCCAAUUGCUAUAUUAUAUAUUUUGUCAUAUGUUAAAUGUAUAUUUCCAUCUUUGGUAAAAAUAAAUUUGUCAAGAGAUCCAUUGGGCAUGAAUUCAUAAACAAGGGCACGUUUUGAGCCUUCAACACAAUAUCCAAUUAAUUGUACUACAUUUUGAUGAUGUAUUCUUCCAAUUGUUGCAAUUUCACUAAUAAAGUCUUGGCCGUUACCUUUUGAUUUAUGUAGCAUUUUAAUUGCCACAGAAGGCCCACUACGCAACUUUCCCUUGAAUACAAAGCCAUAGCCUCCUUCACCCAAUUUGUCUUUGAAACCUCUAGCCAUCUUCUUAAUUUCUUUGUAUGAGUAUCCAAUAGGCAUCAAGUUAUUUUGUUCUAGAUAAUUUUCAAUAUUUUCAUAUGUUGACAAAUGCCUUUUUCUCCAUUUGUAUAUCAAAAGCACAAUAAAAAAUGUCAUCCCAAACAAAAACUUGCCUGCCAAGUAUGGUAGAAUGUAGUGUCCAAAGGCAAUAAAUAUUGAGUCAUAGGCACCGAUUUCACGUUCAAGUUCUGGGUUUGGCCCAUUUAUAGUUUCAAACAAUCCUGUGAAUUAAUAUCACAAAUGUGACGAUUAUGUUAUAACAGAUGAUAAAGGAAACAUGAUGACUAUCAUACAACCUAUAUGCACAAUUUGUUAAUAUUAGAAGAUUGUUAAUUAUUGGAAGAGUCAAAGACACAAAGUGGUACAUACUAUCACAUAAUCAAUAGUAAUAACAAUGUCAAAAUAUUAUAACACAUACUAACUCUAGUGAAAUGUUUUGCAUGGUUAAAAUUAUCUAUAGCAUAUAAAAAUUGAGGAACUCACCUUUUAUGACAGCAUUAAAAGCUUCUGCAAAAAAAAAAAGGGUUACUUGAGUGAAUGGUGUGAUAAAGAAUCUUUUGAUUACAAUGUUAAUGUGAGAUGCAAUAAAUAAGGUACUUGUUAAAGUAGAAUAUCAAUUUAAUUCUUAAAAUUGAUAUUAUUAUUAGUUGCUAUUCAUGAGUUAAUUUGAUAUUGAAUAUUUGCAAGGAAAUAGCGCUUUGCCUCCAAUUUAUGAUUCUUUUUGUAGGAAUUGUACAUAUUUAUCUUUAUUGUGUGAUUAUAUAGAGCAGAAACUCCAUUUUUGGGACUUAAUGUUGAAUCCAGCUCAGUUUCGGGCCAAAUAAGAAAAGGUUCAAGCAGCUGAUGACUCGUUUAGUGAGGCAGAUCCGCUCAGCGUGUGACAUCUGCUUAACGAGGCAUCCAGUUCACUUAGCAGAUGGGAAACCUUAGAAGAGGAUAAGUAAGAGAUGUGCUCGUCCAACGAGGUCAUUGUCUCUUUUCGUGCUUAGUGCGCCCACUCUCGUUUUGCGAAAAUUCACUAACUCUCGCUUAACGAGACAUGCUUGCUAAGCGAGCCUUCAGAAGCUGAAAGGUCCAAGAGCCUUUAAAACACUGAAGUUGGCGAAAAUAAACAACAAGAAGCAAUAAAGAGACGAGUGAGGAGCAACAAAGGGUGCUUGGCUUAGGAAAAUAGAGAGACUUAGGGUUUAGAGGUCAAAGGAGACAUCCUCCAUCAUCUUCUUCCAAUUUCUUUCACCAGAAACAAUUUCUUUCUUAGUUUUAAAGUUUUGCUUGUAAUGGAAGGCUAAGCCUCUUUGUUGAGGAGAUCAACUGAACAAUCUUGAUGUAAUAUUCUCACUAUCUAUUUAAUGUUAUUUUUCUUUGUUUAUUGCUUCUAUCUAUGUUUAUUUUACAUGCUUGUGACUUGAUCACCCAUUUGUAUGUGUAGUUAAGCUUUUUAGUAUUGGAUAAUGCUUUAAAACCUUAGAACUUGGUAGAACAAGCUAGAAAUUUGUAUGUCUAGGAAUGAAGUGCAGUGAUUUAGUUCAUAUUAUGUUGUAGGAUUAAGACAACUCCUUUAGAACAAGUUUGUUGAGGGAUCAAGGACAAAGUCUAAAGAGAGCUAGGUUCAUUCAUGUGAGAAAUCAUGGUUUGAGUAGUUUCUCAGCAUAAGAACACUAAGAUAACAUUAAAUAGAGAAAAAUAUAUUUUAAACAUCAAGAGAAAUUAAGUAGAACAACCCAACACUGUUAACUUGAUAGUUUUCACCUUAUAUAGCUUUAGAUAUUGUGUUUAUGUUCAAAUAGAUUUUCUAGUACAGAACUCAGCAUUUAUCCUGUUUUUAAUCCCUAUAAGUGUUUACAUACUGAAUGUACAUGGUCUAAGUGAAAUAAAUUUUCUGAGGAUAUGAUAUUUAGUCGUACUGUUUUAUAUUACUUGUGUAAAUCGGUACACUUGCCGAUGUUAACAACAAUUAUCCAUCAAAUUUGACAAAUAUCAACCAAUUUAGUUGUUGAGGAUUUUGCAUAUCGGUCAAUUUCGUUACUAAUAUUAAGUUGCAUGAAGGACCAAAUUGAUUAGUGGCUAUCAAUUUCUUUUCUUAUAGAAAAGAGAAAAAUAAAUAGUUAUUGCCAAAUCUAGCUAGGGAUCAAUUUGAUGUUUAACUUAUAUUGUUGAAUUUAUGUUAUAUUAUACUAAGAAAUCAUAUAAUAAGUCAUUGUUUCAAAUGCAAGCCAAUGGUUCUAUUCGUCUGUAUAUAUGUAUUUAAUAACUUGCACGUACAUAUACAUACAUUUAAGAAGGAUGAUUCACGGAUUAGUAGUAAGGUUUAAUAGUAAUGCAUGCAAUCACAAUGCAAAUAAAAUAAUUGACAAAUGAUGAUUAAGCAACAAAAAAGAAGAAAAAAAUUGAAAGGCAUAAAAUUAUAUUAUUUAUGAAUUUUUUUACAUUUAUAUAUAAUUUUUAUAAUAAUUUUUUUUGUUUUAAUUUCUUAAGAUACUUAUUAACAACCCAAAAUAAUUUUAUACAAUCAACCAAAUCAACAAAUAAAAAAGUAUUCUUGAUAUAACUUUUCAGAUGAUUAUUAUAAAAACUUGAAUGUAUUUUGAGUCCUUAUAAAACAAAAAAUUAAGGUUAUAAAAUUCUUACCUUCUGCAGAUGUUAGCAGCCUGGACCAUGUCCCUAUUGACAAAAAAAUAUAUCAGUUUCGGAUUUUAUCACAACGAGACACAGAGGACUAUUAACAUAUAUGUCAAAGUUUAUACCUAUUAUCAGUUUAAAAAGUUUUAUCUAAAAAAAAAGUUUUAUUUAAUCCUUGGGUUCAUAUAGACACAGGUAAAAAAAUAAAACUAAUAAAUUAAUUUUUUGUUUAAAAAAUGAUUUUAUUAAUAGGAUGAAUAAGAAAUAUAAAUUAAAAUAUAAAUACAGACUUUUGAAACCUUGUUUUACCAAAUGCAAAAAUAUAUGGUUUAACAGAUUAAAGAUGGUUCUAUUGAUGAUUUGUAAAUAUAUAAUUUUUACAACCUUUAGCACAUUGAAGCUGGAACAGCUGUCCCCCCAGGAAAUUGCGGCAGGGGCAUUGAAGCUUCUGAAUGGAAGCGUCAAAUGCGCAGUCGGAAUAAAAAUAUCCACACUGAUCGCCACAGGCGAAAUUGAUCCAUGAAAGCUCAAAUCCAUAGAGAAGCGCUCUGUGCAUCUGAGUGUAUGAAGAAUUAUUUGUAUCCAAACCCCGCCAUGAUGUGGGAGCAACCAGCUUUACCUCACAACCAACUUCAAAGUCCUUUGCUAUUAAGUCACCAGCAAUAGCGUAUAUGUACCCUUUGGAGUGCCACUUGAUGCAAGGAUCAGUUUCCACAUACUUCUCAUUGUCAAUCACUGCAUGCCUACAAUUUAAGAAAACUAUAUGCUGGAAAACGUGCUCCCAAGAAUAAUCUCGAUUUUGUAAGGCUAGGUAUGGAUACCCUUCAUCAAUUGCACUGAAAUUGGUUGGAGACAAGAAGUAGCGAGGAAUGGAGGAGCAAUAUGGCUGUUGAACACCCGGAUCCACCACACGGAUUGUGAAAUUGUUGUAGUUGAUAGCCUGCACAUGAUAUUUUCCAGAGUACAAAUAUAACACCGUAACAUUGUUUUCACAAGCUAGCCAAUACCUGUUGACCCCGCAAACUUCUGGGUCGCCUUUUAAUCGAAAUGGAUAAGUUAUGUUGGUGAUUUUGCCACAGGAAGAAGGGGGGCAAGCAUGCUCUUGCUCAUUGGUUGCACAAAUUUGGUGGACUAGUAAUAACAGGAACACCAAUAAAGCUCUCUGUCUCCACAUGACGCUCAAACUGUUUCUCGCUCACCUUUAAGUGCAUAGUGCAUACAAAAUCAAAGUCGAUAUUUAAAGAAAAAUUGUAAGGUUAUUUCUGUCCUAAUAUCUUUCUUUUUUACUUUUUACGCAUCUUAAAUUAAUCUCAGCAUUAUUGCAUUAUGUAAAAUUCUGAUUGAAUCAUAUUAGAAUGAGAAAGAUUUAGAGACUAUAAGUAUAAGACCGUACGAUUGAUGAUAUCUUAAAAGAAUUAAUUGGUAUUAUCUAUACCAACAAAAUACAUAUAUUUUUUGAUCGUUCAUUGUUUAAGAAUUUUUGGUUAAACAUGUUUGACUUGGAGUAAUUAUGAAAUAAAUGAUCUUCUUCUAUUAAAGAGUCUUGAUUAACAAGAAUUAAUAGAGAUAAUAUUUGGGACUUCAUUUGCAAGACACCUUUACUUUGUAGAAUUAAAUGAAAUUGAACCAAUAAUGCAGCUAAUUUUAGUUAUUAUAUAUAACACUCAAAGUGAUAGUUUUCCGGAGCUUAUAGGUUGAAAUUGUUGGACUACAGUAAGAGUUUAUUAAAAUUCUGAAACUUUAUUUUUGAAUUUUACAUACAUACGCGAUAGGAAAAUAAAUGUAUGCUUAUAAUUAUUGAUAUUUAAGACAUGGACUUAGGGGACCUCAUUUUUCCAAUAUUAAAAGAAUGUGUGAUUACGUAGACUUUAACUUGUCCCUGAGGGGGUAUUAAGUCUUGGAAAAAUCAACACGAUUUUGAAGAGUUCUUCUAAGGUUUCGGUCAAUUUUCACGUGGUUGGGCUUGGAAGGUUUUGAUUAAUAGUAGAGGUAAACAUUAACAGUGAUAGCGAGACGUUAGGCUUUUUGAAUUUUUGUGAAGAGGAUGAGAUUUGAAGGAUGCAAGAUGUGAAAGCUAAUGAAACACGGAAGCGUCAAGAAUUUGCAUAAGCACCGAAUCAGUUUUUAUUUUUAUUUUGGCAAAAUUACACUUUGGUUUCCUAGUUUAUCUCUAAUUUUGGAUUUGGUCCCUCUAUAAUUUAAUUUACAAAUUUGGUCCCCAGUUUUAUAAAUCCCUGCAAAAUUGGUCUUGGAAGCCAGAUUUCGACGUUGACCGUUAACCUCAGACGUUGACUGCCAUGUGUGACUGCCACAUGUCAAUGUCAAGUGUCAAUGCCACGUGUCAAAGUCUGAGUGGUUCCCUGUUAAUGCUUCAUUUUUUGUAGGUAAAAUUGUAGUUUUGGUCCCCAGUUUUACUCCAAUUUCGAUUUUGGUCCCCUUAUAAUUUAAUUUGCAUAUUUGGUGCCUAAGUUUUAUAAAUCCCUUUAUAAAUUCAGCCAAAUUUCAUUACUGGAGAAGUUGUAUUUCAAAUUUCAAACAAAAAUAUCAUUGUCAUACAUAGGCCACUUAAGCAGUCGUAUACACAUAAUACCGCAUGGGGGAACAAAAAAAGAGAAAAAAAAAAGUUAUUACAGAACCUGUUAAAGUAAGAGAUCUGAAAAUUUCAUACCGAGGUUGGGAUUCAUGCGCCACUUUCCCAAGUUGAACAAUCCCGGAAGUGGGAGAGAGACAAAGAGUGAUUUUGUUCUGGGUUCCAAGUGAGUGAAAAACUUACGAUGAAAAAGAAGUGCGAGAUUUAUUAAGACCUACUACCAUGUCUCUAGCACUAGUAGCUAAACCAUUCAAAAGACCAAUUUUAUAGGAACAAUUUAUAAAGGGAUAUAUAAAACUGAGGGACUAAAUGUGUGAAUUAAACUAUAAGGGGACCAAAAUCGAAAUUGGAGUAAAACUGGGAGACCAAAAGUGCAAUUUUACCUACAAAAAAUGAAGCCUUUACAGGGAACCACUCAGACGUUGACACGUGGCAUUGACACGUGACAGUCAAUGUCUGAGGUUAACGGUCAACGUCCAAAUCGGGCUUCCAAGACCAAUUUUGCAGAGAUUUAUAAAACUGAGGGACCAAAUUUGUGAAUUAAAUUAUAGGAGGACCAAAUCCGUAAUUGGAGAUAAAGUGGGAGACCAAUUUUGCCUUUUAUUUUUGUAAAGAAGCACCAAAUCAAUUAUCCUGUAUGCAGCUAGUGGCACCGAAUCAAAUUCGCUAGGUCUGUUUUGAUUUUUCAUGUCUUGGAGGUGUUUUCUAGCUCAUAUAUAUAUAUGGACCAACAAUGUUUUUUUUUUCUGAAUUGGAUUAAUAGCUCUUCUCUCUGGGUCAAAAAUGACAUUUAUUUUGUUAUAAAUUAUCUACAUAUAGUUCAUGCAUAAACUUAUAAGUCAUUCACACAUUUCCUUGAACAAACUUUAGUUAUUGUCACAUCCAUCAUUCAUUUGUCUUUGGCUAGACUUUUCUGUAGUAUUAUGUGUAGAAGGUAAAGGACUGCUUAGAUUUAGAGCAAUUCCACAUACGGGUGAGUAAAUGGGCUCGGGCCCAUAGACUGGCCCGCAGGGUCCGUGUUUGCGCGAGUAAUGGACUAAUUUUUUUAAAUAGUCCAUGGUCAUGCAAAAAUUUUAGGUUCGUCUCACUUAACCAGCGGAAUGUGCAGAUUUGAUCCGCGAGGUCUACGGGUUGCUCGUAAGUCUGCUUAAUCCAUGGUUUGAGAAUCCCACCAACUACAGUACCUUGAGAAUCCUGCUUAAUCCAGAUCUUUCAUUGUUGGCUUAUGAUAUUUUAUGCAUCCAAAUUACAACUGUGGCUUCCGAAUCGACAUUUAGUAUUGGUUCACGGGUGCUUAACAAAUAUCGAACUAGGCUUCUUGCUGACAACGUGCAAGUCUCGAUAUGUACUAAAAAUUGGUUACUAGGAUUUCAUAAGCAAGGUAAAUAAUGUGUAAUAAUUGUUGUCUUAAUUUUAAUCACUUAACUUGAGUUGAUUCUAAUAUUUAUUAGUGUUUUGAGUUUUAAGAAAAGAAGAUGAAGAUGUGGAGAUGGAGAAAGCUCAAGCUACUUCAAAUAUGAAAUCAUUUGUUGUUGGAGAUGUUUAAGUUUCAUAUUUUAGAUUUAUUGCUUGGAUUUUCUUUUGUUAAAACAUUAUUUAUUUUAUUGAUGUAAUUGACUAAUUGUUGAGAUUUUAUUUACAUUUGUGUUGAACUUAAUUUUGUUGUGUUACAUUUUUGUUGAAAUUAGAAUUCAUUUAAAAUUAGGCCCACAGACCGGCCCGUUUGAUCUGCGGGGUUCACAGGGGCGGGGAUGCAUCAAUUUAUUAGGUCCAUGUAAGAAUGCGAGGUGGGCUGACCCGGUUCGAUGCCAAUUCUGGCGGACCUUACGCACGGUAGGCCGGUCCGCUUACCCAUCCCUAAUUCCACACACUAUAUCCAAAAGUCCAGCACACCUUUUUUGGACUUGUGGACUAGAAAAAUCCAUUAAAGUCAGUGUUGCGCAACUUAAUGCAGGUUUAAAUUUAAUUUCAAAGAAUUUGGUAAGGUCAAGUUUGUGGCAGUAUAUGUCUGAGUUUCACUUUCUCUAUCAUAAUUCUUUGGGGGAGACAAUAUUAGAAUUUUAGAGGAUCCUUAUAAAAUAUCAAUAUAAUCAUCAGGAACACAUUAUGUUAGAUUAUCAAGAAGAGUUUUAGGAAUGUCUGGAUCCAUAAUGUCUGAUCAAACAAACGCAGCAGAAUCUGAAUCCGUAGGUGAUUUCUGAUCUAUGUACUCUUCUUAGGAUCUGUUACGGAACAUAUAAUCGGCUAACAUCGUAACCAGUGACUUCAUGGUUCUUACUCAACCAUAACCUCUUUAUUCCUUAAUAGGACCUUCAUAACUCUUCAGAUAUGGAGAAGAGAAACUAUAUCCGACGACUCGGUAUAUUGAGGACCAUAACCUAAUAGGGUUCUCAUUAUCCCCUAAUGGAUCAACAAUGACAUAUGCUCAUUUAAGUCCAAAUCAUUUGACUUAGUUGUCUAAUAGGCUCACUUAAUUUGAUCACAUAAAAUAAAACCCAUUAAUAAUAAAUAGCUAAUAUAAUUGUUUUAUAAUAUUAGCCUACAUUAAUUAUUGGAAUAGAAAAUUCCAACAAUCUCCUACUUGGGCUAUAUAUUGUAACAAUUAUAUCAAAAAUCCUUAAGCACGCAUUUGUAUGCUAUUUACCUUUAGACUUCCACCUUAACAACGUAGUUCAUCUCAUGUAUUAAUAAUAGACUCAUUGCGGCUUUCGUCACUACAAAAAAUGUAACUAGAUCCCAAUGGCCAUCACAUCAGUACACUCAAUGACAUAGGUCAAUAUGAAUAAGCAACAUGAAAAUCACAUGCAAUGUGAUCUUAGUCAUGCCUAUUUCCAACUAGCCCAAACUUUAUUCUUUAUAUAGAUCUAUCCAAACACAACAAAAAUAUUGCAAAUAAAACAAGCUGAUAAUGAAAUGAUAAAAUUUAACUUUAUUUCUGCAGAAAAUCUAAACAACAAAAUGUUUGUAAACCAUAAGAUAUAAAACAUAAGUAAGAAUCCACUAAACUAAAAUACUAUUAGGAAUUAGACCUAUAUGAACAGUGUGCUCAUGAAAAACUUUAAGUGUCAUACCUUUAGUUAGUGGAUCAGCUAGCAUGCAAUGGGUUCCUAUAUGUUCUAUAAAAAUAUGUAUUUUCUAAAUUCUUUAUUUAACAACCAAAUACUUUAUGUCAACAAAUUUUUACUUGGUUAAAUCCUUAAUUAUACCAUUAAGAUAUUUCCCCAAUAAACACCUGAUGGCUACCUAAUGUUGACAACAGGAAAGUUAGUUACAAUAAUUUAACAAUCAUAAAUUCUAGUAUGAUGUCGAAUAGAAAAAUAUUAACUCCACCAACACGGUAAAAUGUGGAUCCUUAUGUGAAAUGAUUGCUAUUAAGACAUUCCGAAAAAAUCAAAGUCAGAAUAUCCAAUGAUCUCUAAACUUCUAGACUUUCGAUAUGAAAACAUGUAGUUUCUUGUUCUCUUUAAUUAAUACAUAAUGUGCUUUACUACUUUUUAGUGUUGCAUAUCAAAAUUACUUAUAUAUCACCUUAGGACUCCCAUAAAAAAUUAUUUCAAGACAAUACAAAAAAAAAUAAAGCAUUCAUGAUAAAUUGUAAUAUAAUUGUUUUGCAACAAUAAGUCAUAUGAUGGUACUGGGAUGUCAUCAACAUAUAAUACCAAAAUAAUAAAUUUACUCCAACUAAACUUUUAGCAUGCACAAUCAUCAACCAAAUUUAACUCAACAUCAUAAGAGAUAAUCUUGAUGAAUUUUGUAAUAUCAUAGACGAGAGACUUGUUUAAAGCAUAAAUGGAUUUCUUUAGUUUACAUACCAUAGACUUUACAUUAUCUUAAACAAGGUUUUCUGGUUACACCGCAUAAAUUGUUUCAUCAAUGUUUCCAUUUAGAAACGUAAUCUUUUCAUCCAUCUAUGCAAAACAAUUGUCAAAAUGAUCUACAAUGUCAUUAUAGUCCUAAGAAAGUCUUUCUAAAAAAUUAGAGAGAAAGUCUCUUUGUGAUCAAGUCUUUUUUCUUGUAAAACUUUUGACGACAAGAUAAACUUUAUAUAUUUUAAUAUUACCCAUUGAAUCCCUUUCGACUAUAGAUAUUUAUCUAUAACUUAUGGGUUUUACACUUUCAAGAAAUUUGAUGAUAUCUCAAAUGUCAUGUUCAAGCAUUGAUUUUAUUACAUCAUUUAUGACAUCAAUCCAUUUGAGAGUUAGAGCACAACAUGACUUGACUAAGGUUAAUUAAACCUUCUCAGUUAACCUAAUGUUAUAUUCAUGUUCUUAAAGAAAUAUGACAUAAUCAUAUCAAAUUACUUGUUUUCUUUCUCUUGUGGAUCUUCUUAAUGACACUUCUUGAAGUUAUUGAGUUCGAACUUUAGGUGAUGCUUGAGAGAGAAUCUUAGUGUUGUCUUGUUUUUUAAUAAUGUUAAGAGUAACAUCAAUAUUUAAUUACCAUAUCUUUUUUUGAACAAUGGUAAGUACAAAGACUUAUCUAUUGUCAAUAAUAGAUUAUUCGUUAAAGACAACACUCAUUAUGUUUCUUUCCCCUCCAAAUUCAAUUUCCUCAAGGAGUCUUGCAUUCUCGUAUCAAACAUGAUCCUAAAGUGAGAUUGUAAAACUUAUACAUACGAGAACUUUAAAUAAAGAUGAAUCAUUUGUGACAAUCAUAAUAAGCCACCAUAAAUACAUUUAUGGUGGUUUCUUCUAAUUCCAAGACAAAACCGUUAACAAAGACAUUUUUUUGCAUGCUUCCUAAAUCCACCCACUUAAUUCCUAUCUCUCAAGCUUUAUUCAUCCGGGUCAAACCAUUCAAAAACUUACUAUUCACCCCUAAAACAAGAUUUUCACCUAUGUAAUUAUAAUCUUAUAUAUAUACAAACAUCAUAGACCAUCACGUUAUAAUUAAUUAAUUACAUAUAUUUAAAUUAAAUUAAAUUAUUCUUGCAAUCUAAUUAAAAUCACUUAACUAGACAUUACAAAAAACAUAAUGUUACUAUAAUAAUUUAUUUUAACUAAUAAAUAUAGAUAGAUAGUAAAGAUUAAUAUAGUACGUAGGAGUCUUUUUUUAUUCAUUAAUUCGGUUUUUAUAAUAUGCUUUGUAUCCAAUAAUAAUUAAAAAAAUUAAAAGGAAUUUAUUUAAUAUAUUAAGCUAAAUUUAUUAUUUUUUUUAAAAAAACUAAAUUUAUUAAAUUUAUGAAUAGUUACUUUUAUUUAAUAACAUUCAUGAUUUUUUUUAAAUAUCUUUAUGAAUUAAUAUUUCCAUAAAAUAUUAUAUAUAUAUAUUCAAAAUUUUAUUAGAAAUAUUUUUUAAAAAUUGUAUAUUGAAUAUCAUUAAUGCGUGUAAUUAAAUUCUUUUUUCAAUAUAAUCAGGUAUGUUAAAUUUGAUUAUGUCUAAUUAACAACUUUAUAUGAAUCUGAUUUCCUAAUAUACAUUAUAAACUUAAUUUUAAUUUUUGAAAUUACAAAAUUAAUAUAUUAAUGUAACCAAUUUAACAAUUCAUUUUUUACUUCAUUAAACACAAUUAGCUUUAUAUAUUAUUAAAUUAAUUUAAAAUUGAUAAAACAAUAUCUUUGUUAGAUUUGUUUGAAUUAAAUCAAAAUCAUUUAAAUAAUAUUUGAUUAUACUUAAAGUUCAUUAUAUGACAUGGCAAAAGUAGCUACAUGUCAAUAAAUAAAUGCAUGAAUUAUCAAUAGGUGUGGGUUAUUUAUAAUCUACACUGAAGUAAUUCCCAAAUAUUAAAUUUCUUAACACUAUUAUAGAACCCAUUGAUGUACAUAUGAGAGCCCUACUUUUAGUUAAUUGAACUAAUUUUCUAAUUAUUCAGGAAAAUCGGAUGAAAAUUUUCAAAAUACUAAUUCUCAAGGAUACAUGUGUAAUACUAAGUACUGUUUAGUUUCGAUUUUUAAUACUUUGUCUGGACGAGGCCUAAGAAAUGAUAAAAUAAAUUAUUUGUUCCUAGAAAACCACAUAACAGGAUGAGAUAGUAAAAAUAGCAAGAGAGGUUUAAAAAUUCUUUUCAAGUCAUACAAAUGUGCUUAAAGUAAUAAUUUUAAAAUCCUAAUAAUACUAAUUAGAAUUAAAACCCUACAAAAAAUUAAUAGCACGGGGCGGGGUGUACUUCCCCGUGUUAUUAUUAUUUUGAAGGCACGAGGUUUUAUAGGCAUGGCACCCGCACGAGGCGGGGUGUACUUUCCCGCUCCCCGUCCCUGAACCUUACCCUACUCUCCGUCUCUGCUCCCCGUGCUGAGGGUAUUUUUUGCCCCGUUCCCGUUCCCCGGCUCCCCGCGGGGACCCCAUUUUACAUUAAAAAUGUCAAAAAUUAUAAUUUUUUUUUGUUUUAUCUCAAUUUUUCAACAAUAAUAAAUUUAAGGUUUAAUUCUAAGUUUAAAACAUGACGAAAAAUACCAAAAUAAAUCAAUAAUAAUAGUAAUAAAAUCAAACAAGCAUAAAAGCAUCCAAGAAAUAUCCAAGUACACAUUAAUGUUAUAGUAUUACACAAUAAAAAUUAUAAAACUAGCAUAACAUUACAAGUCUUUAUACAAUAAAUUAAUAUCAUCAUACUGAAUCAAGUCUUCAUACUUCCAUCCAAGUGCAAUGAAGCAUCUUCAACAUCAUACCUACACAAUGAAACAUGUAAAGAUGUGUUUAGAAAAUAUAAAAAAGUCAUGAAUUAAUAUAAUAAAAUUUUCAUACCGUCGACGUUGUGUCUGCAUCGUCUUUGUGACUUGUGAGAUAUAUAUAUAUAUAUAUAUAUAUAUAUAUAUAUAUAUAUAUAUAUAUAUAUAUAUAUAUAUAUAUAUAUAUAUAUAUAUAUAUAUAUAUAUAUAGAUAGAGAGCGCGGCCAGCGCGAUAUACCCCUGUGUGUCCACAGCAUAUAUCUCUGUGUGUGUCUCUAUAUUUAUAUAUAUAUAUGUAUGUGUAUGUGUGUGUGUGUGUGUGUGUGUGUGUGUGUGUGUGUGUGCGAGUAUAUGACACACACAGAGCCCAUUCCCUAGCCUUUGGGUAGAAAUUAUUAUGCUAAAAACUUACAAGCAACCACAUUACACCAUUCAAGUAGAAAUCCAGGUUUAUAUCCAAGAUUACAUAUCAGGGGAAACUUUUGAACAAAAAUCUUUAAAUUUUUGGUAACCCCAUUUUUUUUAUACUUUGAAAGAUAAAACAAUAGGCAAUCUUUUAGAUAAAAUAAAUAUUACAGAUGAACAGGUGUUCAAGACAAUAAGGUGGAUACAAAUACAUAACUACUAUGCAUUAUCAAAUAGCAUCCUCUACCAAAGGAUUAGUCACAAUUUCCUUGGAAUAACUAGAAGAACUAAUGAAGUCUGUUGACAUUGUUUGACUAGAGUAGAUGCUUUGAUCAUUUUCCAUUGUCUCAUGUGGAUAUAGAGAAGGCUUUGGAGGUAUUUCCAGGCUUUCAAUGUCUCCUUCAAGCAUUUCCACUACUUUGUUCAUUGAGGGACGAUCGCUUGGUUUCAACUGUACACACCAAAGUGAAACAAUGAUCAUCUUUUUUGCUAUUUUAUUUUCCUCCUCUGUGACACCUUCCAUUUCUAUAUCUGUCUCUUUUCCAAGUUGAUUAUAAAUCCAAAAGGGAAAGUAAAGUCGACUUGAAUGAUCUGCAUGGGGAUUUAGGUUCUUCCUCUUACUUGCCAUCUCUAUCAAAAGCAUCCCAAAGCUAUAAACAUCAGCCUUGUGGGAUAUUCCUCCAAUAUUUUUAUAAAAUAAUUCUAGAGCCAUAUACCCAAUUGUUCCUCUUGCCGUUGCCAUAGUCACAAUGCUAUUAUCUAUUGGAUAUAGUUUUGCCAAUCCAAAGUCAGAGACCUUUGGGGUGAAUGUUUCAUCAAGAAGGAUGUUAUGGGGUUUGAUAUCAAAAUGCAAAAUUUGCAUCUCGCACCCAUGAUGGAGAUAAGCAAUCCCACGAGCUACUCCAAUUGCUAUAUUAUAUAUUUUGUCAUAUGUUAAAUAUAUAUUUCCAUCUUUGGUAAAAAUAAAUUUUUCAAGUGAUCCAUUGGGCAUGAAUUCAUAAACAAGGGCACGUUUUAAGCCUUCAACACAAUUUCCAAUUAAUUGUACUACAUUGUGAAGAUGUAUUCUUCCAAUUGUUGCAAUUUCACUAAUAAAGUAUUGGCCGCUACCUUUUGCUUUAUGUAGCAUUUUAAUUGCCACAGAAGCCCACUACGCAACUUCCCCUUGAAUACAAAGCCAUAGCCUCCUUCACCCAAUAUGUCUUUGAAACCUCUAGCCAUCUUCUUAAUUUCUUUGUAUGAGUAUCCAAUAGGCAUCAAGUUAUUUUGUUCUAGAUAAUUUUCAAUAUUUUCAUAUAUAUAUGGACAAAUGCCUUUUUCUCCAUUUGUAUAUCAAAAGAACAAUAGACAAUGUCAUCCCAAACAAAAACUUGCCUGCCAAGAAUGGUAGAAUGUAGUGUCCAAAGGUAAUAAAUAUUGAGUCAUACGCAUCAUAUUUACGUUCAAGUUUUGGGUUUGGUCCUCUUAUAGUUUCCGAAAAUCCUGUGAAUUAAUAUCACAAAUGUGACUAUUAUGUUAUAACGGAUGAUAAAUGAAAAAAAAAAUGACUAUCAUACAACAUGUAUGCAUAAUCUGUUAAUAUUAGAAGAUUCUUAAUUAUUGGAAGAGUCAAAGUCACAAAGUGGUACAUACCAUCAUAUAAUCAAUAGUAAUAAUAAUGUCAAACUAUUAUAACACAUACUAACUCUAGUGAAAUGUUUUGCAUGGUUAAUAUUAUGUGCAGCAUAUAAAAAAUAGAGGAACUCACCUAUUAUGACAGCAAAAAUGGCUUAUGCAAAAAAAGAAAGAAAAGGUUUACUUGAGUGAAUAGUGUGAUAAAGAAUCGUUUGAUUACAAUGUUAGUGUGAGGAUUUUGCAAAUAAAGAAUCUUAAAAUUUCUAUUAUCCAUCAAAUUUGACAAAUAUCAACCAAUUUAGUUGUUGAGGAUUUUGCAUAUCAGUCAGUUUUCGUUACUAAUAUUAAGUUGCAUAAAGGACCAAAUUGAUUAGUGGUUAUCAAUUUCUUUAGUUAUAGAAAGGAGAAAAACAAAUAGUUACUGUCAAAUCUAGCUAGGUAUAAAUUUGAUGUUUAACUUAUAUUGUUGAAUUAUUUUAUAUUAUACUAAGAAAUCAUAUAAGUCAUUGUUUCAAAUGCAAGCCAAUGGUUCUAUUAGUCUGUAUGUAUUAAAUAACUUGCACGUACUGUUGAGGUGUUUGGCAAGUGUACCAAUUCGCUCUAAGUAGUAAUUCUCGGAAGUCCGAGUAUCGUUUCCACAGGAAUUUUAUUGCACUUUAUUGAAUACUCUUCAAUUUGUAAGUGAGAAGUAAAGAGUAAAAAGCCAGAAUAAAUGCAAGGGUAAAUUGCUACUACUAGAUCAAACAAUUUAAAAAGAUAAUUAAUGAAGAUGAAGAUGCUAAGACCGGACAAACCUAAUUGGCCUACGAUGCAUGAGAUUAUGAUGUUCAUUACCAAUGCAAUUGAACUAGUUCUACCCACAUCUGUUAAUUUUACUUGCCCCUGAUGCCUCACGAUGAUAAGCCUAUUUUAACUACCUAUCUCCAAAAUGCCUUUGUGAAUACUCAAUAAUUAAAAUGCAUUAAGGUUGAAUUAUAGAUGUUUCUAAAUGCAUGGGCAUUGGGCCAUCAUUCUAUGCCUAGCAAUGCUAACCCAAUGAUUCUUUUCUUUAUUUGUUCUAUUAGGUGUUACCCUUUCCUAAGCGUGUAACCCCUAAAAACUGAUGCAUGCAUUGCCUCUUAAACCCUUAUUAGGAAAUACCCUUUCCCGAGCGAAUAAAACCCAAAAAAAUUUAAGACAUAAAUGCAAGAUAAAAAGAAAAGAAUUAGAAAAUAAAACCUGGAAGGAAUUCUCUUUGCAUUGAUAACUCUUGAAGUACACCAUACAUCGUUGGCUUUUUAGGCCUGCCAGGCCCUAGCUAGGGGAGUAGCCGCUCAUGGCCAUUGAGGGGCUUUACAACUGAGGGGUGAAAGAAAGAAUGGAUAGGAAAAAUAAAGAAUAUAGAGAGAAAGGAAGAGCUUAGGCUUGGAAUGUUAAGAGAAGUACUCUGAGGCGAGGUGUGUGAUUCCUCCUGGACUGACUCUCUAUUUAUAGCUGCUAAAAUGGGCUUUGGGCUUUCGUAGGCGUGCUUAGCGCGACACCUCACGUUUAGCACGUUUAGAUCGUGCGCUUAGCGCGUGCUGCAGGCUUAGCAUGUGCUUUUAUUGGAUCGCGCACUUGGCGUGUGGUUCGUGCUUAGCGCGAGUAACGGAUCCUGCGUCUUCGUGCUUAACACCUCACUUAGCGCCUGUGCUGCCGUGCCCGCUUAGCGCCCGUACUGGACUGGGUCUGCUUCCAACUUUCUUCUUUUCUUUAGCAUUUCUCUUGCUUUUUGCUUAUUACACCUUCAACCUUCAAUCUGCAGCCAAAAAUCUAAACUUUAUCAAUUCUUAGCUUUUUAAUUAAAAUAACUGCUAAAUAAUUAAUUUUAAGCCAAAAUUUGCAUGAUUUUCUAUUAUUAAUUCAUAAUUAUUUAGCAGUUAUCAAAAUUCCCUAAAUUAAACUUUGCUUGUCCCCAAGCAAAUAAAUUCUCAAGCAAUUUCUAAUUGUUCCAACACUGUCAAUGGCUGCAGUUCUUCAAUUCCUUGACUGGUUCUUUCUGCAUUUGGCAUAAUCUUAAAAUGAAAGCACAAAAAACACAAGAGCUGAAUCGGUUAAUUAUCUGGAAUUCAAUCAAGUUUGGCUUGCCUUACUUUCCUCUCAAGGCUGGUGUUUCCCUCUACUCAUAAGUGUCUGGUUUAGUGUUUGCAAUCUAACAACCUGCAAGUAAGAUUCCAGAGAUUUGCAUUUCAUCUCUGUUAAGGUUAUCUUUAAUUACCUUUGGCGGAUCACUAAGGACUUUAUUGGCUUGUAUCGGGGCCUGGCUAUCAAAAAAAAAAAAUCAUGGUUUUUCUUGGAAAUUCAAACUUAGGAUUAUAAGAGAGCAAAAUUUCAAUUCUACCUAGGCCUUUUACUUAGCCCUUUUAUUUCUCCACAACACUUUUCCUUUGACACCUCUCUUUAUUUUAUUUUAUUUUGCCCUUUUAAAAGUUUUUUUUUAAAAAAACCUGGAAGGAAUUGGGCUUAUAAUUUGCAAAAGGUGUCUUACUGUAUGCUAUUCUAUUAUCUUGGCCACUUAUCCUUUCAUCCCCAAAUCCCCCAAAUUAAGACCUUUAUAACCCCUUUUUUUGCUCUCUUAAAAUCCUAAAAAGGGUCAAGACUAUCAAUUUUUGGCUCAAGGGUCAAUUCAAAAUAAUCUAUUGGCUCAACAUGGGUGCAAAGGGUAGAAUUAUGUUGGGUUGGCUUUUUGGCUAAGUAGCUAAACGAAACAAACAUGGCCUUGAUCAUAUCCAUCUUAAGUAACUAAUCUAACAGUCUAAGAAUGACGCAAAACUAGGAACUUAAGAAUAGGCGUUUUCUCUCACAAUUAAGUUCACACUCUCACCAGGACUAAGUAAGUAUUCGGCGUACCAGGUAUGACCAUGUUCCAUCAAGCUAACCUUUUCCACUCUAUGCGGUUCAUGUUCCAUUUCUUGACCUGACUUUUGCUUCCAGAACCAGUGUUUCUCCAAUGAUCAGUAGCAUCUCAAGUGUUGGACCUUUCAAAACAAGCUAAAGAAUUAUGACUUCUCAAGUUAUCAUGCAAUUAUUACUCAGAAAACACAUACUGAAUUCUAAUAUUAUUACUACUACUUUUUAAGUUCCAAACAGACUACAUUAAAAAUAAAGACAUAAAAACAUAAAACAUCAAAACAUAAACUAAGAUCCUGUGCUGCCUCCGCCCGAAAUCUGCCCAUGGGCCCCAAUCUGCUGCUGCCAAAUCAACAAUAAUGUCGUCAUCAACUACAGCAUCUCCCGAGCCAGCUCCAGAUGGCUCUUCCCCCCUAUCAGUAAAGGGUUGGGCUCUUGGUCAUGCGACCUACUGAAUAUAGGCCUUUGGAGUUGUGAGGGGCGGAUCCAUCUUCAUAUGUAAGGACAAUCGAUGCAGGUCUUGAAUAAUGAUUUGCUGGCCCUGAUACAGGGACCUGAGCAUCUGUCCAUGCAUAUGUAGGGGUGCUGAAGUGGAUGCAAGUGGAGGGAUCGAUCCCUGAGAGGAAGGCUGAGAAGGAGGUUGAGGAGGAAGAGGAGCCUCUGAUGCUGAUGCUGGGGCUCUGGUGCAUGCUGUAGAAGCAAGCUUCAUGAUGAUGAAUCAAGUUGAUUCAAGUAGUUUUGAUGAUGACAAAGAUGAUGACAAAAAGCCCAAAGAAUGAUUUCAAGAUUGAGUCAACAAGUUCAAGAUCAAUAUUAAUUUCAAUUUUCAUGAGAAGAAAUCAAGAAGAUUCAAGAAUCAAGAGAAGUUUGAUUUCAAGAUUCAAGAGAAGAUGAAUUCAAGAUUCAAGAGAAGAAAUCAAGAAGAUUUCACAAGGGAAGUAUUGAAAAGAUUUUUCAAAAAAAAAAACAUAGCACAGUUUUGUUUUUCAAAAGAGUUUUUCUCAAAAUUUUCUAAGUUACUAGAGUUUUUACCCCCUGGUAAUCGAUUACCAGUUUCCUGUAAUCGAUUACCAGUGGCAAAGUUUGAUUUCAAAAGCUUUUAACUGGAUUUGCAACGUUCCAAUUGUUUUUUGAAUGGUGUAAUCGAUUUCAAUAUAUUGGUAAUCAAUUACCAGUGUAUCUGAACGUUGAAAUUCAAAUUAAAUUGUGAAGAGUCACAUCUUUUCAUAAAAUGCUUUGUGUAAUCGAUUACAUGGUUUUGGUAAUCGAUUACUAGUGACAAGUUUUGUAUAAAAAUCAAGAGAUUUAACUCUUCCAAUGGUUUUCUCAAGGUUAUAACUCUUCCAAUGGUUUUCUUGACUAGACAUGAAGAGUCUAUAAAAGUAAGACCUUGACUUGCAUUUUAAGUACUUGAUAUAACUUUUCAUAUAUACUUUUGAACGUCUUCUUGAACUUCCUUUGCCAAAAGCUUUCUAAGUUUUCUGGUUUCCAAAACUUGUUCUUUCACAGAAAACAAAAGUGUGUUAUAUCUUUUCAUUCUCUUCUUCCUUUGCCAAAAAGAAUUCGACAAGGACUAACUGCCUGAAUUCUUUUUGUGUCUCUCUUCUCCCUUUUCCAAAAGAACAAAGGACUAACCGCCUAAAUUAUUUUGUGUCUCCCUUCUCCCUUUUCAAAGAAUUCAAAACGACACAAUCUGAGAAUUCUUUUGAUUCUUCUGUUUCCCUUAAACAAAAGAUUUCAAAGGACUAACCGCCUGAUAUAUCUUUUGUUUUCCCUUCACAAAGUUUCAAAGGACUAACUGCCUCAAAACUUUGUCUUAACACAUUGGAGGGUACAUCCUUUGUGGUACAAGUAGAGGGUACAUCUACUUGGGUUGUUGUAACUGAGAACAAGAAAGGGUACAUCUCUUGUGGAUCAUUUCAAGUGGAGGGUACACCCACUUGGUUGUUCAAAGAGAACAAGGGAGGGUACAUCCCUUGUGGAUCUUUGCUUGUAAAGGUUUUUACAAGGUUGAAAGAAAUCUCAAGGACCGCAGGUCGAUUGGGGACUGGAUGUAGGCACGGGUUGUUACCGAACCAGUAUAAAAUUCUUGUGUUUGUCUUCUUCUUCCCUAUACUCUUUAAUUUCCGCUGUGCACUUUAAUUAUCGCUUUUACUUUUGGUUAAGUUUCUUUUUCUAUUCUUUAUUUUCUUAACUUUGUAGUAAAAGCCUAAUUAAAUCUAGUAACAUUAAGAAUGAUAAAUUUUUAAUUAGUCAAGGCACAUUAAUAAUUAAUUCAACCCCUCUUCUUAAUUAUUCCAAGGCCAUUUGAUCCAACACAUGCACGACGGACCCCUGAAAAUGUGAUAGAGGGGUCUGCGGGGUUCCAGCAAUUCUUCCGAAUAUAAGCAAGGUUGAUCACAGGACUGAGUGACUCAAAAAUUAGGGUAUCGGAGACAACCCUCUGAAUGUCACACAGCGCUGAGAUCAGUGCUGGAAACCCGAGCUUGGAAGUGCUGGACUAGACGAUCUGGCUGAUCUGCCGAGAAAUGAGGUUGCCCAGGUCCAGGUCCAUCUUUAUCACCAAGCCAUAUAUGGAGUCGGGCCCUGUCAACAUUAAUAUUAGAAGUGUGAGAAGUAGGAGCAAGAUUAAAAUACGAAAGGACACUCCAUGUUUGAGCGAGUGUCGUCAGGUCCUUCCGCAGCAACUUCCAAGGGGCACCAUCCAUAUUCAGCACAAAACGCCCCCUUGGUGUACACAAGGUGGAAAGGAUGGCGUCGUGAUCGGGAGGAGUGUGGAGGUACUGGGAGUAAGCUGGGUACUCCUCCCCAUCUACCAGGAUGAACGGGGUGUCAAGGAAGUCAUUAAUCAUCUUAGCAUCAAACCUGACCAUAUAAGUUGGAGUAGAACUCCUUCACCAGAGCGAUGUCAAUCCUCUUCUCUGGAAGCCUGGUCAAGACUUGGUCCCAUCGACGCCUCUGGAGCUCCUGAAGGAACUCGUCAAACAUCCUGGGUGCGAGCUCUACAUUCCUCUCCGAAAGAAUGUUCCGGAGCUGAAUGUUGUCCUAGUAUCUAUGCUGGAUGCUUCCCCAGGUGUGGGCACAGCUCGACGUUUGCUGGAAGCCGUCUGAAAAGAAAAAGAAAAACAAAAAAAAGAAGAAACAGACUGCAGUUAGUAAACAGAGGGGGAUGCAAAAAGAAAUUCAGAAAGUGUGAAUAGUAAGCAAGGGGUGCAAAAAGUAAAGCACGAGGUUGAUGGGCCCUAAGGCCCAGCCUCGUGCUUAGUGCCUUCUUCCUGGUGGUGUUGGCACGCGCUUAGCGCAACUGGUACGCGCUUAGUGCAUUCACUGAGAUUCAUGAGCACGCUUAGCGCGACGGUGCCGGUUAAGCGCGUGUUGCAUUUUCAUAUCCUAUCUGCUGCAAGCUUAACGCACUCUUCUUUCUUCUUUCCCAUGUUGCCUGUUCCCGCUAAGCCUCUGUGUAGGGCUUAGCGUGAUGGUACCUACAAAUCAUUGUGGCAACAGUCCAGAUUCCAAAUCUUACCUCUUUUCGUGAAAAACUGAGUGAAAGGCAUAGGAACGUGAGUAGGCUUUUGGAAAAUGAAGAGAAAAAAGAGUAAAGGGAGUGGAAGUGUAAAAGAGAAGAAAGGAAAUGAGCUGAGGUGGCUAAAAAUUUUAAAGGCACCAAAGGCAGAUGAGGGGUUGGGCAGCUUCAAAAACUGUCCAGCAAUUUAUGGUUUGCGUGCUUAGCGCGUAGGUGGCCGCUAAGCGCACCAAGGGAAGCAUCCCUUGGUUUUCCCUCAAUAUUUUAAAAUUUUAAAAUUGAAAAUGUACCUGGGCGCUUAGCGCCUAGAUGCACGCUAAGCGUGUGACUUCGUGUAGCCCACUCCUUUUCUGCUGUUUGCACCCCUACUGUUGUUGACUUCACCUGCUGGACUUUUACUGAUUGCACCUCCUAUUUGCUAUUUGCACCUGUUGGGCUUUUUUUUUUUAUUAAAAGAAGACUACAUUUGUACAAAAAUACAUUGGGUUGCCUCCCAACCAGUGCUCAGUUUAAUGUCUUCAACUAGACACUAGGCUUUCUUCAAGGAUCAUUCAAGUAGAUAAUGGUCGUCAAUCUCUCUAAUUGCCCUUCGUUAUAAAUCUUUAAGCGCUGUCCAUUGACGAUCCAUUUCUUCUCAAAAUUCUCUUCUCUAGGGUCCACCAAUUAUACUGGUCCAUGAGGUCUGACUUUUUUUUAUUAUAAACGGCCCUGACCACUUAGACUUCAACUUACCUGGGAACAACCUUAGCCUUGAGUUAAAGAGUAAUACAUGCUGCCCUAGCUGGAAUUCUUUCCUUUGUAGCUUCUUGUCAUGAUAUGCCUUCAUUUUUUGCUUGUAGAUUAUGGAUGACUCGUAGGCAUUUAGUCUCAUUUCUUCCAAUUCCAGCAACUGUAGUUUCUUCUUUUCUCCGCAUGUGUUGUUAUCAAAGUUGAGCAAUUUGAGAGCCCAAUAUGCUUUAUGCUCCAGCUCCAUUGGUAAAUGACAUGCCUUCUCAUACACUAGCUGAAAUGGUGAUAAGCUGAUGGAAGUCUUGAAUGCUGUCCUGUAGGCCCAGAGAGUAUCGUCGAGCUUCAAGGCCCAAUCCUUUCUUGAUGAUGCAACUGUCUUCUCCAGGAUUUGCUUGAGCUCUUUGUUAGAAAUUUUCGCCUGGCCGUUCGUUUGAGGGUGAUAAGGUGUGGCCACCUUAUGUCUUACAUUAUAGUGCUCCAGGACUUUCUUCAACUGAUUGUUGCAGAAGUGCGUUCCCCCAUCACUAAUCAAGGCUCGUGGGACUUCAAAAUGGGAAAAAAAUGUUCUUCUUUAGAAAUUUUAUCAUUACCCUGGCAUCGUCUUUUGGAGUGGCUAUGGCUUCCACCCAUUUGGAGACGUAAUCCACGGCUACCAGGAUAUAGACAUUCCCGUAUGAAGAAGGAAGAGGCCCCAUGAAGUCUAUGCCCCAACAGUCAAAGAUCUCUACCUCCAUGAUGUUCUGCAAAGGCAUCUCAUUCCUUCGCGAAAUCCCCCCUGUUCUCUGGCCUUUAUCACAACAACGCACAAACUCGUAAGCAUCUUUAAAAAUAGAGGGCCAGAAAAAACCUGAUUGUAACACUUUUGCUGCUGUUUUGUCCCCACCGUGGUGUCUGCCAUAGGGUGAACUGUGGCAGUGCCAAAGAAUGCUCCGUGCUUUCUCCUUUGUGACGCAUCUCCUCAAUAGAUUAUCAACCCCUGCCCUGAACAAAUGAGGAUCAUCCCACACAUAGAAGUAUGCGUCAUGCAAGAAUUUCUUCCUCUGACUCCAACUAAAUUCUUCUAGAAUGAUUCCCGUGGCUUUGUAGUUAGCCAUAUCUGCAAACCAAGGUCUGGUGGCAACCUACAAAAGAAACUCAUCAGGAAAUUCCCUUUUUACCUCUGGUUUUUCCUUGGUGACUUCUUCAUUCUUUAACCGGGACAAAUGAUCGACUACCACAUUCUCGGAUCCUUUCUUGUCCUUGAUGAUGAUGUCAAAUUCUUGUAUCAGUAGGACCCAUCUAAUCAACCUCGGCUUUGAGUCUGUCAAGGCGAGCAGGUGCUUGAUGGCAGCAUGAUCUAUGAAAAUGGUGACCCUCGACCCUAUCAAAUAAGACCUGAAUUUCUCCAAGGCAAAGGCAAUGGCUAACAUCUCUUUUUCUGUGGUCGCAUAAUUCAAUUGUGCUUCGUUAAGGACCUUGCUAGCAUAAUAGAUGGCGUGAAAUACCUUGGCGUGCCUCUGUCCCAAAACUGCUCCUACUGCAUAAUCAUUGGCAUCACACAUUAAUUCAAAAUCUUUACUCCAGUCUGGUGCAAUCAUUACUGGUGCAGUGGUGAGCUUAUUCUUCAGUGUCUGAAAUGCUGCUGAACAUUCUUCAUCAAACUUAAAAACCACGUCCUUAUUCAGCAGAUUGCUUAAGGGUCUGACAAUCUUCGAGAAGUUCUUGAUGAACCUCCUGUAGAAACCUACAUUCCCUAAGAAACUUCUGACGCCUUUAACAUUCAGUGGUGGCGGCAACUUCUCAAUGACGUCUAUCUUUGCCCGAUCAACCUCAAUCCCUCUAGCUGAGAUCUUGUGGCCCAGGACUAUGCCCUCUCGAACCAUGAAAUGACACUUUUCCCAGUUUAGUACCAAGUUAGUCUCCACGCACCUCUGUAGUACCAUCUCUAGGUUCCUUAAGCAGUUGUCAAAUGAGGGUCCAAAAACUGAGAAGUCAUCCAUAAAUACUUCAAUGCUCUUCUCCACCAUGUUUGAAAAAAUGGCUAGCAUGCACCUCUGGAAUGUGGCUGGUGCGUUACAUAACCCGAAUGACACCCUUCUGUAAGCAAAGAUGCCAAAGGGGCAUGUAAAGGCUGUCUUCUCUUGAUCCCUGGGGUCCACCGCGAUCUGGCUGUAUCCUGAGUAUCCGUCCUAGAAACACUAAUAUGCCUGCCCUGCAAGCCUCUCCAGCAUCUGAUCCAUGAAAGGUAAGGGGAAAUGGUCCUUCCGUGUGACUUCAUUCAACUUGCGGUAGUCGAUACACAUUGAUGCAAGCUCCAUGGGAGCUUGUAGGCCUAGGAUCUUCUUCAUCAAUGGAUUCCUUUGCUUCUUGGAAGAUAAAUGGCAGCGGAAUGGGGAAGGAAGAGAGAGAGGAGACGCCACUUCAAGGAGAAGAUGAGUCUAGAAGAAGCUCACCACCAUAGGAGGCCAUGGAUAAGAGCUUGGAGGAAGAAGGAGAAGAAUGAAGGAAGAGGGAGAGAAGAGCACGAAAUUUUGUGCUCUAAAUGAGCUUUGAAAUCUGAAGUUUAAUAUUCAAAUGUUCAAAGUUGAAAAAAAUGCACACACAUGACCUCUAUUUAUAGCCUAAGUGUCACACAAAAUUGGAGGGAAAUUCAAAUUUCACUUGAAUUUGAAAUUGAAUUUGUGGAGCCAAAAUUUCACUAAUUAUGAUUAGUGAAUUUUAGUUAUGGUUCAGCCCACUAAUCCAAGAUCAAUUCCAAGAUUCUCCACUAAGUGUGCUUAGGUGUCAUGAGGCAUGAAAAGCAUGAAGGACAUGCACAAAGUGUGACUAUAUGAUGUGGCAAUGGGGUGUAGUAAGCAAAUGGUCACCUCCCCCUCUAAAAUUUAAUUGGAUUGGGCUUCUACCAAUUCAAUUAAAUUUAUUUCCAACCACACACAUCAAAUAUCCACUUAGUGCAUGCGAAAUUACAAAACUACCCCUAAUACAAAAACUAGUCUAGGUGCCCUAAAAUACAAGGGCUGAAAAAUCCUAUAUUUCUAAGGUACCCUACCUACAUUAUGGAGCCCUAAAUACAAGGCUCACAAAUAAUGAAACCUUAAUAUAAUAUUUACAAAGAUAAGUGGGCUCGUACUUAGCCCAUGGGCCCGAAAUCUACCCUAAGGCUCAUAAGAACCCUAGGGCCUUCUCUUGCAUCUCUGGCCCAAUCUACUUGGAGUUUUUCUAUCCAAUGCCCUUGCGGGGUAGGAUUGCAUCACACAUCCGCCAACAAGUGACAAUUCGUGUAGGUAUCAAGUUAUUCCUCUCAUUUCGUACGACUGUCAUUCCGCCUUUCUUAGGAACCACCUGUACUGGGCUUACCCAAGCACUGUUAGAGAUGAGGUAUAUGAGCCCAGCCUCCAAAAGCUUGAGCACCUCCUUUCUUACCUCUUCCUUCAUCGUUGGAUUCAACCGCCUCUAGGUUUGUCGGACUGGCUUGUAGUCUUCUUCCAUCAUUAUCCUGUGCAUGCAGUAAGCAGGGUUGAUUCCUUUGAGAUCCGAUAUGUGCCAUCCAAUUGCUUUCUUGUGUUUCUUCAGAAUGUCUACCAACCUGUUUUCUUCUUCUGUUGUGAGUGCAUUACUGAUCACUAUAGGCUUAUCUUCCUCCAAGAACAUAUACUUCAGAUGAUUGGGCAAUAUCUUCAACUCUACCUUCUUCUUCUCGGACGAAACUUCCUUCUUUAGUGUCUCAAAAUCGGCUUCUCCCUCAGGAAUACUGUCUUGAUGAUCCAAGUCUUCCAAGAAAGCCUUCAGAUCUUCUUCCUCUUCACUGGUUAGGCAGUCUAGCGCAUUUACCAUGGUUUUUUCCAGCAAAGUCUGUGGUGUCUUGAGAAUACUGACGUCUUCCUUAUCAAUCUCCUCCACUCUGAAGAACUUCCAACCCUCCUGUGGGUACUUCAUUGCCUUGAAAAGGUCGAAGGUUAUCUUCUGAUUGUCAAUACUCAGCUCUAAGUUUCCAUUCCCUAUGUCCAUCACAAAAUUGGCAGUCAUCAUGAAGGGUUUGCCUAAGAUAAGGGGAAUCUUUGUGUCUUCUUAGAUAUCCAUGAUAACAAAGUCCACCGGAAAAGUGAAGUGGCGUACCUUGACCAGGACAUCUUCUACCACCUCGUAUGGUCUUGUGAUUGAGUAGUCUGCCAGUUGAAGCGUCAUCUUGGUGGGGUCUAUCUUCAAAUUCCCAAUUCUUCUGCACAUUGAUAAGGGCAUCAAAUUGAUACUUGCUCCUAGAUCAAUGAGGGCCUUGUUUACCGCUUCCUUCCCUAUGGUGCAUGGGAUGGUAACACUUCCGGGGUCCUUAAACUUCUUGGGUAGCUUCCUCUGAAUUAUUGCACUGCAGCUGCCUCCUACCACAAUAUUCUCGUUGUCAAUAUACUUCCCAUUCUUGGUGAGGAUGUCUUUCAUAAAUUUGGAGUAGAGGGGCAUCUGCUGUAAGGCUUCCCCGAAUGGCAUGGUGAUUUCUAGCCCUUUGAAUAUUUCCAAGAAACGUUUGAUGUAACGCUUCUUGUUCUUCCUGGUGGGUGCCAUAGGAUAUGGGAGAUCCUGUGGGAGGGCUAGUGGUUCUUCCUUCUUGGCUUCUCGUGCUCUCUGGCUCUUGGUCUUAGGUGCUGAUGUCACCUUCUCUUCUUCUUUUGUCUCUUUUUCUUCUUUCUUCUUUGUCCUUCUUUCUUCUGGCAGGUCUUCUCCUUCAAUAUUACCCUCCUCCUGCGCUCUUCUCUGCCCUCGAGUCAGCACUGCUUUACAUUCUUCCUUCGGGUUCUUCUCCGUGUUAGCCUUGAAAGUUCUAGUAGGUCGUUCGGCUUUAUCAUGCGCCAGUUGGCCCAUUUGAACUUCCAGAUUCCAAAUGGUUGCGUCCGUGCUCUUCAGAUGUGACCUUGUCUCCUGGAUGAAUUGCAGCAGCAGUUCCUCUAUGUUGGUGGGCUUCUCUUGCUGAUUUGGACCUUGGCUAGGGUGCUGGUAUGGUGGCUGGUUCCUGUGUUCCUUGUAUUGAUUUCCUUGAUUCCUCCAGCCUGAGCCUUGCGUAAAGUUUCUUCCUUGAUUGAAUCCCAGUGGCCCGUGAUUAAAUCCUGUUGCCCCUUGAUUGAAUCCAAACGGAUUUCCUAGGUUGUAGCCUUGGAAUCUGUGGCGAUUCGGUAUGCCCAUAUAAUUUACUUCUCGAGAGGGAUCUUGUUGGAUUACACAUUGUCUGGGCUCAUGUGUCCCUCCGCAUGUGGGGCAUCCUUCAACCUGCAAAACAGAAAAGUGGGAAGAACUUACCGCUUGUAAUUGUUAAGGUAACUUGCUGAGGGUUUCCGUAAGGGCUUCUAUUUGCCUAGUCAACAGCUUGUUUUGUGCCAAAGUUGCGUCCUGUGUGCUGAGCUCCAAGAGGCUUCUUUUUGUAGGGACAUAAGUGCGAUCACGAAGGAUAGUUUGAUCGCUAGCAGCCAUGUUCUCGAUGAGCUCCAUUGCUUCUUCGGGAGUCUUCAUCUUGAUCUUCCCUCCUACGGAUGCAUCUAGCAGCUAUUUUGAUUGAGGUCACAGGCCAUCUAUGAAGAUGUUUAGUUGUGCUGGCUCGCUGUAUCCAUGUGUUGGUGUUUUUCUUAGCAACCCGUGGAAACGAUCUAGUGCUUCGCUAAGGGAUUCAUUGGGAAAUUGAUGGAAAGAAGAGAUCUCCAUCUUCCCUUCAGCGGUCUUUGACUCUGGGAAGUACUUCUUUAAGAAUUUUUCCACUACUUCUUCCCAUGUUCUUAAGCUGUUGCCUUUAAAGGAGUGCAACCAUCUUUUCACCUUUCCUGCUAGUGAAAAGGAGAAGAGGUUAAGGUGUAUCACAUCUUCUGGAACUCUGACGAUUUUAACGGUGUUGCAUAUCUCUAUGUAUGAGGCUAGAUGCGCAUAUGGGUCUUCAUUUGGGAGACCAUGGAAGAAGUUUCCCUUAAUUAACUGAAUAAGAGAGUGUGGGUAGGAGAUGUUGGCUGCUUGGACCUCCGACCUUGCAAUACUGGUGAAGAACUGAGGGGUGGCGGUAUUAGAGAAGUCUUAUAGUGUGACUCUUCAUGCCGACUCCCUGUCCAUCUGAGUGUGAUUUGGAGAAGGAGGAGGUGAGGUGUAACUGCUUCCUGCUCCCUUCUUCUUCUUGCAGUGUUGUUACGUCGGCAAGUAGCUUCAAUUUCUAAGUUAAUAGGAACAACGUCUCUAGAUGUAGUUCUACCUCGCAUAAAAACAAAAGGCACUACCCGUGCAAUUUAUGGGAGAAGAAAGAAAGGAUAGAAGAGAAAGUAAAGAAUACUAGAUGAAUGAGUCAAGAAAGGAAGAAUUGAGCUUACAAAUUGACAUAGUAUGACAAUUAAGUGCGAGAACAAAAUCCCCGGCAACGGUGCCAAAAACUUGUUGAGGUGUUUGGCAAGUGUACCAAAUCGCUCUAAGUAGUAAUUCUCGGAAGUCCGAGUAUCGUUUCCACAGGGAUUUUAUUGCACUUUAUUGAAUACUCUUCAAUUUGUAAGUGAGAAGUAAAUAGUAAAAAGCAAGAAUAAAUGCAAGAGUAAAUUGCUACUACUAGAUCAAACAAUUUAAAAAUAUAAUUAAUUAAGAUGAAGAUGCUAAGACCGGACAAACCUAAUUGGCCUACGAUGCAUGAAAUUAUGAUGUUCAUUACCAAUGCAAUUGAACUAGUUCUACCCACAUCUGUUAAUUUUACUUGCCCCUGAUGCCUCACGAUGACAAGCCUAUUUUAACUACCUAUCUUCCAAAUGCCUUUGUGAAGACUCAAUAAUUAAAAUGCAUUAAGGUUGAAUUCUAGAUGUUGCUAAAUGCAUGGGAAUUGGGCCAUCAUUCUAUGCCUAGCAAUGCUAACCCAAUGAUUCUUUUCUUUAUUUGUUCUAUUAGGUGUUACCCUUUCCUAAGCGUGUAACCCCUAAAAACUGAUGCAUGCAUUGCCUCUUAAACCCUUAUUAGGAAAUACCCUCUUCCGAGCGAAUAAAACCCAAAAGAAAUUUAAGACAUAAUGCAAGAUAAAAAGAAAAGAAUUAGAACAUAAAUCCUGGAAGGAAUUCUCUUUGCAUUGAUAACUCUUGAAGUACACCAUACAUCGUUGGCUUUUUAGGCCUGCUAGGCCUUAGCUAGGGGAUUAGCCGCUCAUGGCCAUUGAGGGGCUUUACAACUGAGGGGUGAAAGAAAGAAUGGAUAGGCAAAAUAAAUAAUAUAGAGAGAAAGGGAGAGCUCAGGCUUGGAAUGCUGAGAGAAGUGUUCUGAGGCGAGGUGUGUGAUUCUUCCUGGACUGGCUCUCUAUUUAUAGCUACUGAAAUGGGCUUUGGGCUUUCGUAGGCGCGCUUAGCACGACACCUCAUGCUUAGCAUGUUUAGAUUGUGCGCUUAACGCGUGUUGCAGGCUUAGCGUGUGCUUAUGUUGGAUCGUGUGCUUGGCGCGCGUAACGGAUCCUGCGUCUUCGUGCUUAACGCCUCGCUUAUGCCCGCUUAGUGUGUACUGGACUGAGCCUGCUUCCAACUUUCUUCUUUUCUUCAGCUUUUCUCUUGCUUUUUGCAUAUUACACCUUCAACCUUCAAUUCUACAGCCAAAAAUCCAAACUUUAUCAAUUAUUAGCUUUUUAAUUAAAAUAAAUGCUAAAUAAUUAAUUUUAAGUCAAAAUUUACUUGAUUUUCUAUUAUUAAUUCACAAUUAUUUAGCAUUUAUCACGUAUAUAUACAUACAUUUAAGAAGGAUGAUUCAUUGGAUGGAAUAGUAUUACGGUUUAAUGGCUAUACAUGCAAAGACAAUGUAAAUAAAAUAAUUGACAAAUGAUGAUUAAGGAACUAAAAGGAAGAAACAAAAUUUGAGUUCCAUAAAAUUAUAUUAUUUAUGACUUUUUUUUUUACAUUUAUAUAUAAUUUCGACAAUAAAUGUUUUUUUAAUUUCUUAAAAUACUUAAUUAUUAACAAAACCUAAAACAAUUUUAUACAAUCAACCAAUAAAAAAUAUUCUUAAUAUGACUUUUGAAAUAAUUAUUACAAAAAUUUCAAUAUAUUUUGAUUUGAGAUAAAACAAAAAAUUAAGGUUAUAAAAUCCUUACCUACUGCAAAUGAUAGCAGAUUGAACCAUAUCCCUAUUGACAAAAAAGAAAAAAAGAAGUCAAUUUCGGAUUUCAUCACAACGAGCUAGAGAAGACUAUUUAGCAUAUAUGUCAAAGCUUAUACCCAUUAUCAGUUUAAAAACUUUUAUUCAAAACAAAUUUUUUUUUUUAUUUAAUCCUUGGUUUCAUAUAGAUACAGGUAAAAAUAUAAAACUAAUAAGUUAUUUUUUUUGUUUAAAAAAUGAUUUUAUUAAUAGGAUGAAUAAGAAAUAUAAAUUAAAAUAUAAAUACAGACUUUUGAAACCUUGUUUUACCAAAUGCAAAAAGAUAUAUGGUUUAACAGAUUAAAGAUGGUUCUAUUGAUGAUUUGUAAAUAUAUAAUUAUUUACAAUGUUAACUGAAGAAAUAUAAUUGGGUAUUGAUAGAGUGCACAAAGAUUAUUUUUUUAAAGUGUACAAGAAUUCACAUUUAAUAUAUUGGUUGGAUGUUCGAAAUGAGUGAGUAAAAUGGCAAUGAUCAAAGCAAGGAAUAAAAUAAAAAUUCUAACUCUAGUGAAAUGUUUUGCAUGGUUAAUAUUAUGUGUAGCAUAUAAAACCAGAGGAACUCACCUAUUAUGACAGCAUUAAAAGCUUCUGCAAAAAAAAAAAAUUACUCGAGUGAAUAGCGUGAUAUAGAAUCAUUUGAUUACAAUGUUAAUGUGAGAUGCCAUAAGUAAGGUAUUUAUUAAAGUAGAAUAUCAAUUUAAUUAGUUCUUAAAAUUGAUAUUAUCCAUCAAAUUUGAAAAUAUCAACCAAUUUAGUUGUUGAGGAUUUUGCAUAUCGGUCAGUUUCGUUACUAAUAUUAAGUUGCAUCAAGGACCAAAUUGAAGUGGUUAUCAAUUUCUUUUCUUAUAGAAAGGAGAAAAAUAAAUAGUUACUGCCAAAUCUAGCUAGGGAUCAAUUUGAUGUUUAACUAAUAUUGUUGAAUUAUGUUAUAUUAUACUAAUAAAUCAUAUAAGUCAUUUUUUCAAAUGCAAAGCCAAUGGUUCUAUUCGUCUGUAUGUAUUAAAUAACUCACGUACAUAUACAUACAUUUAAGAAGGAUGAUUCAUGGAUUAGUAGAAAAGGUUUAAUAGUAAUGCAUGCAAUGACAAUGCAAACAAAAUAAUUGACAAAUGAUGAUUAACAACUAAAAGGAAGAAAAAAAAAUUGAAUGGCAUAAAAUUAUAUUAUUUAAUUUUUUUUACAUUUAUAUAUAAUUUUUAUAAUAAAUAUUUUUUUUGUUUUAAUUUCUUAAGAUACUUAUUAACAACCCAAAAUAAUUUUAUACAAUCAAUCAAAUCAAUCAAUAAAAAAGUAUUCUUGAUAUAACUUUUGACAUAAUUAUUAUAAAAAAUUCAAUAUAUUUUGAGUCCUUAUAAAACAAAAAAUUAAGGUUAUAAAAUCCUUACCUUCUGCAUAUGAUAGCAGCUUGGACCAUAUCCCUAUUGACAAAAAAAAAAUCAAUUUCGGAUUUCAUCACAACGAGACAGAGAAGACUAUUAGCAUAUAUGUCAAGUUUAUACCCUUUAUCAGUUUAAAAACUUUUAUUCAAAACAACAAAAAAGUUUUAUUUAAUCCUUGGGUUCAUAUAGACACAGGUAAAAAAAAAUAAAACUAAUAAAUCAAUUUUUUGUUUAAAAACUGAUCUCAUUAAUAGGAUGAAUAAGAAAUAUAAAUUAAAAUUUAAAUACAGACUUUUGAAACCUUGUUUUACCAAAUGCAAAAAUAUAUAUGAUUUAAGAGAUUAAGGAUGGUUCUAUUGAUGAUUUGUAAAUAUAUAAUUAUUUACAAUGUUAAUUGAAGAAAUAUAAUUGGAUAUUGAUAGAGUGCACAAAGAUUUUUUCUUAAAGUGUACGAGAAUUCACAUUUAAUAUAUUGGUUGCAUGUUCCAAAUGAGUGAGUAAAAUGGCAAUUGUCAAAGCAAGGAAUAAAAUAAACAAUGUUAUGCUUAAGGUUUAAACAAAUAUUUCAAAUUUUUCAAAUGAUCACAAGAAACUCAUAAUAUAUACUAAUCAAACUAAAUUGUAACAAACUAAAUUAAUAACUAAUUUGUAACUAAUUAAACUAAUCUUUAAUUAACUUGAAACUAAUUAAACUCAUUUUUAUCUCUAAUAGUCUAAGAAGCACUGAUGCAGCACUCAUCGACAUGUGCCGCGUCGGACUUGCAUCGAACAUGCAAGCGGGUACAACUCCGGUGCGACGCGGUGUCCGUUGCUUUCGCUGUCACUGGGCACGGUUGGACAAUAGGACACACACGAUUGGACGCGGCCCACCAAGUGGACACGCGCGAUUGGACUCGGCCCAACAAGCCUCAGCUAUUUUUAUUAUUUAUUUAAAAAAUGCUUACCAAAUACGAAAACGGUUCUUCUUUGUCUACUCUUGCCGUUUCCCGCAAGCGAACCAAACGCCUCCAUUGCUGCACGUCGUUGCCUCCGUUUCGUCGCGCAGGUAGGCCCUUGUUUCUUUUCUCAUUUGCUCCUUGUUUCUUUUUUCAAUUUUUCUCGUUGUCGUUUCUAAUUUCUUCAUAAUGAACAAGCAUUAUUCUCGCUGUCGUGUUAUUAUUUUUUGGUUUUUCUCGUUGUCGUGUUAUUGCCGUUACUAUGAAUACAACAGUAUAGGUAUGAUAAGCCUUAUUUAUCGAAAGCAGGUAUGGCCGUAUAGCAAGCCUUAUUUUUUGGUUUUUCUCGCUGCCGUGUUAUUGCCUUUUUGAAAGGUCACUAUUGUUUUACACUUUUACUACUCUUUUAAGUAUUUAAUUUUUAAAUGGUUUUUUUAUUCUUUUUUUUUCUGAAAGCUUUUUAUUUGUAUUAGUAAAAAAACAAGGUGAUUUCUCUUCUAAUACCAAACAUUCCUUAAUUUGGUGGCAUUUGGUUGAUAAGUUCGUAGCUCUUGCAUAAUUUUUUGGUUUAGAAUUUAAAUUUACUGUCUACCUCUAAUCAUAUACUGUUUUGAAUAAAAUUAAGUUACAACAUGGCCAAUAAGACAUGAACAACAUUGAUUAGAAAUUGCUUUUGUUGUUUGUUUUUUACUUAGAAAUUUUUUACAUUUUUAAUUUUGUAAUUUUAUUUUAUUUAAUUAUAUAUAUAGUCGUGUUCGUGUCCUAUAUUUUGGACACUAAAUAUCCACGUGUUCAGUGUUCAUGUCCAUGUCCGUGCUUUAUAGUUAAUAGUUCUUCUGACAUUUCGGUUAAUUUUGAAGAGUUCUUCUGAGGGAGUAUUAAGUCUUGGAAGGAUUUGAUUAAUAUUAGAGGUGAACAUUAACCGUGAUAGCGAGACGUUAGACUUUUUGAAUUUUUGUGAAGAGGAUGAGAUUUGAAGGUUGGAAGAUGUGAAAGCUAACGAAACACGUAAGCAUCAAGAAUUCAAAUCAAUUUUUAUUUUUAUUUUUGUAAAGAAGCACCAAAUCAAUUAUCCUAUAUGCAGCUAGUGGCACCGAAUCAAAUGCGCUAGGCAUGUUUUGAUUUUUCAAGUCUUGAAGGUGUGUUCUAGCUCAUAUAUAUAUAUAUAUAUAUAUAUAUAUAUAUAUAUAUAUAUAUAUAUAUGGACCAACAAUGUUCUUUCUUCUUCUUUUUUUCUGAAUUGGACGAAUAGCUCUUCUCUCUGGGUAAAAAAGACAUUUAUUUGGUUAUAAAUUAUCUACAUAUAUUUCAUGCAUAAACUUAUAAGUCAUGCACACAUUUCCUUGAACAAACUUUAGUUAUUGUCACAUGUAUCAUUCAUUUGUCUUUGGCUACACUUUUCUGUAGUAUUAUGUGUAGAAGGUAAAGGACAACGUAGAUUUAGGAGAAUUCCACACACUAUAUCCAAAAAGUCCAGCACACCUUUUUGGACCCGUGGAAUAGAAAAAUUCAUUAAAGUCAGUGCCGACAGCUUAAUGCAGGUUUAAAUUUUAAAGAAUUUGAUAAGGUCAAGUUUGUAUCGGUAUAUGUCUGAGUUUCACUUUCUCUGUCAUAAUUGUGUGGGGGAGACAAUGCUUGGAACUUCAUAUGCGUGCGUGCACGGCACCUUGACCUUGACAGACUUUCAUAAGGUCGAGUUUGUAUAGGUAUAUUUCUCCCUCUCUGUCAUUAAUUUUGUUUUACAAGUGAUUAUAAAUAAAUGAAUAUAAUUAUAUAAAAUUAUUAAUAUACGAUUAAUGGUGUCACGAAAUUAUGGAACACCAAAUGUAGUUAAUAUAUGUGCAAAUGUAGAUUCAUCCAUGACACCUCAAAUUCAUAGACUAAGGCCAUGUGCAUAAGAGAAUAGGAAGAUUUAUUUGUAUCCAAACCCCACUAUGAUGUGGGAGCAACCAGCCUUACAUGACAACCAACUUCAAAGUCCUCUGCUAUUAAGUCACCAGCAAUAGUGUAUAUGUACCCUUUGGAGUGCCAGUUGAUGCAAGGAUCAGUUUCCACAUACUUUUCAUUGUCAAUCACUACAUGGUUACAAUUUAAGAAAUUCUUAAAUUUAAUAAAGAGCGUUGAAUUGGGAUUUUUAAUUAUUUUUUAAAAAUAAUAUUAUUGUUUGAUGAUAGUUUUAGUAAAAAUUAAUACAUAUUUUUACAAAUAAAUUUAAACAAUAGAUACAAAUUUUGUAAAAACACAAUUUAAAAAUAAAUAAAUUAAAACUCUAUCAAUUUAAAGCAUAAGAAAAACAAAAAUAUAUAAGACACAGAUUUUUUUUUCAAUCACGGAGACUACUUCCAGUUCUUAAUUGGUUGCAUUUUAAAUAAUAACGAUAAUGAAACAGUAAAAAUAAUAAAAAUAAGAGAUAAAUAAAUAUUGGUUAAACAACACUAUACUACUCAUUUACUUUGGAUCACACGCAUAAACACUCUCUUAAUAUCCUUGAGUUACUGAAGGAUGGAAAAGAAGGAAUAAAGUGGAAAAAAUUUAUUAAGACAAUUGAUAGAGAAUAAGAAUUAAAGAUAACGAAAAAUUUAAAUUACAAAGAGUAAAAUAAUAUUCUUCUAAACUUCUAUAGUAUAAUUAUUUUAAAUUGUUAAAGGGACCUCAAUUGAAAACUUAUGUGUAUUGUAACUUUUUCCUUAAAAUCAUGUGCUGCUCAUAUAAGAAUAUAAAUCUGUUUGCAUUUGGUUUAAUGUUAUAGUAUAAUUAUAAGUUAAAGUACAUGAUAAUAGUUAGAGGAAAAAUUAGAGUACGAGUAGUUAUACACAUGAACAUUAAGUCAAAUUGUAGUUAGCUUGGGACAUUUCUUUCAUGUGACUUACAUUUGAAUAUUAAGUUAUUAACAUUCCUUUAAUUGUGCAUCUUUAGGAAAUUGAUAUUUGAAAGGUAAUCUAGGUAAUUGAGAGAAGAAAUAUAUAUAUUAAUUGUAUGUCCAAAUAUGUGAAUUAGCUUGUGAGCGUGUUUUUGUAGCUUUGUAUGUGAAUAAUUAUAUUAGUAUAUGUAUAUUUGUGUGUUUAUUUAAGUAUAAUUGAAAUGUUGCAUUGUUUAUUCGAUAAAUUGGUAAUUUUGAAUUAUAUGAUAGAUACCUCUAUCUAAGAUGACAUGCAAUUAUUAUAGAUACUUUCAUUUGAAAUAGGAGAGAAAGAUUCUAGAUAUCUUCAUCUAUGAUGAAAAAGAUAGCAAAAAAACACCGUUGCAUAUUGCAUGAAAUAUGAAUUCACAAACCCUUUGAGAUUCACAUUGGUUCUAGGAAUCAAAGAAUUGAGUCUAAUGAUUCUAGAAAUUACUAAGUUGUGUCUCUGUUAUAUUUAUUUGAAUGUGUUGACGUGUUAUUGUUUAUUUAAAUAUUUUAUUUAUUGUGAAUGUCAUAAAUUAUGAUUGUUUUAAUCUAAUUUUUAUUGGAAUAUAUAGAUACAUAUAUUUAUAUACAUAUAUAUGUAUGUAUAUGUAUAUAUACAUACAUAUAUAAUUUUAUUUUAAAUUUAUUGCAUAUAUCAUAACUAAUUUUUUGGAUUAUCAUGUCUGCUAAGAACAAUAUUAUUUACAAAUACUUUAGGAUUAUUUUAUUCAUUAGAAUUAUCAUUUCAAUAAAAGUAUUAUUUUUAUAUCAUGAAAUUGUUGGAACUGAAGAGACUUUAGAGGACUUAGUUAUCUUUAAAUAUUUUUUUAGUUAUGUUAAUGUCACUGAUUACAUUAUAUUUUUAACAUUGAUUAUUUUUAGAUGUUCAUAUUUAAAAUAAUGUUUUUAUUUAUAUAAAAACAUAAUUAUUUGACUUUAUUUGUUAUAUAUAAAAUAUUUUGAUUAUCAUAAUUUUAAAAUUUUAUAUUCUUUUAAUAUGAAUUAUUAUUUUAAUGAUGGGUGUUACACAAGAAACCUUAAUUUGGACUUGUAGCCUAGAAAAAGUCACUAAAGUUUGUAUCGUGAAACUUAAUGCAAGUUUUAAGUUUCGAAGAAUUUGACAAGAUUGUCUUGUAUUAUAUAUGUCUAAGUCGAAUGGUUUGAUAAGGUUGUCUUGUAUUAUAUAAAGCUUAAUGUUAAUAGAAGCACUAUACUGAAUAGUCCAACACACCUUAAUUUGGAAUUGUGGUCUAAAUGUCACUAAGGUUGGUGCCGUGAAGCAUAAUGCAGGUUUAAGUUUCGAAGAAUCUGACAAGGCUGCCUUUUGUUAUCUAUGUCUUUUGUACCAUUAAUUGUUUUUAUUGUUUUGAGGAGAGGACUUAAACGCGUUUAGUUGACCCUGAUAGAGUUAAAUGAAAUUGAAGAAACUAUAGGUUAUUUUAAUUCGGUCAAAUACAUUUUUAGUCUUUUGUUAAAUUUUAGAUUUUGAGUCUCAGUCUCCUUUGAAUUAUUUAUUCAUUUUUAGACCUUUUUAUAUUUUUUUUCUAAUAAUUAGUCACUAAGAGAGUGAAAAUGACAUAAAAGACAGAAAUUUAAUUUUGAAUAGACUAAUUAUGAUUUUUAAAAAUAAAUAAGAGUUUAAAAUGAAAAAUAAAUUACUAAAAUUCAAAAUCUGAAAUUCGAUGUAGAUUAACAACUUAUUUUGCACUUUUAUUAUUAAAACUAAAAUUGAUAAUUAUUCAGAGCUUAUUAGGUUGGAAUUGUUGGAUUACAAUAAUAACUUAUUUAUAAAUUUCUGAAACUUUAUUUUUAUUUUUACACACAGAAUAUAGAUAAAGUUGUUUUAGCUUAAUCAGACUCUAUAAGUUUCGUAAAAAAUUCAUAAGUUUCGUCUAUAAUAAUUUUAUCAUUUUUUUAUCAUGAUUACUUCCAAUAAAAAAAAUAUAAUCUAUAUAGUAGCAGUGAAGCUAAAAUUUGUGCUGUGAAGCUUAAUGCAAGAUUUUAAGUUUCGAAGAAUUUGACAAGGUUGUCUUGUAUUAUAUAUGUCUAAGUCGAAGAGUUUGACAAGGUUGUAUUAUAUAUGUGCAAAAGGUAAAGGGCAUAACGUUAACAGAAGUAGUUCCACACACUAUACUGAAUAGUCCAACACACCUUAAUUUGGACUCGUGGCCUAGAUGUCACUAAGGUUGGUGCCGUGAUUGCAGGUUUAAGUUUCGAAGAAUCUGACAAGAUUGUUUUUUGUUAUAUAUAUCCUUUGUUAUUGGUGUGAGGAGACAAUGCUUAGGACUUAAAUGCGCUUAAUUGACCUUGAGAGUUAAAUGAAAUUGAAGAAACCAUAUAGGUUAUUUUAAUUAAGUCAAAUAAGUUUUUAAUCUUUUGUUAAAUUUUAGAUUUUGAGUCUUAGUCUCCUUUGAAUUAUUUAUUCAUUUUUAGACCUUUUUAUAUAUUUUUUUCCAAAUAAUUAGUCGCUAAGAGAGAGUGAAAAUGACAUAAAAAAGACAGAAAUUUAAUUUUGAAUAGAUUAAUUAAGAUUAUUAAUAAAAAUAAAUAAGAGUUUAAAAUAAAAAAUAAAUGACUAAAACGCAAAAUCUGAAAUUCGAUGUUAAUUAACAACUUAUUUAACCCUUUUAUUAUUAUAAAACUAAAAUUGAUAAUUAUUCAGAGCUUAUAGGUUGGAAUUGUUGGAUUACAAUAAUAUCUUAUUUAUAAAUUUCUGAAACUUUAUUUUGACUUUUACAUACAGAAUAUGGGCUUAGCUGUUUUAGCUUAAUGAGAGUCUAUAUAUUUCGUAAAAUAUUCAUAAGUCUCACCCAUAAUGAUCUUAUUAUUUUUUAUUAUGAUUACCUUUUGAUAAAAUAUACAUAUAAUCUAUAAAAAAAGGCAUACUGAACAGGUAGAUAAAUGAAUACUUAUAAUAAUUAAUAUUUAAGAUAGGGAGUGGGGACUUGAACUAAGGGACCUCAUUUUUCCUUUUAAAAAAUUGUGAAAAAACAUGGACUUUGACUGAGAAAUCGAGUUUUUCUCCCGUUCUAUCUGGUUUCCGCACCUGAUUGCAAAAUCAAAAAAUAUAAAUUAAAACUUUAAGCAUAAACUAAAAGAUACACCGAAGUGUAGUUUGUUAAAAUCACAUUUCUUUCCCCAACAAAAGAAAAUAAUGCUCCAAGAGAAUUCCAUAUUGAUCACACUGUUACUAAUGCUACAAUUUAUGGCAUUUCUUUCCUCAUUUAUUGGAAAUGCCAUAAAUUGUAAUUGUUUUAAUUUAAUUUUUAUUGGAGUAUAUAUAUAUAUAUAUGCACAUGCAUAUAUAAUUUAUUUUAAAUUCAUUAUGGAUAUCAUGACUAAUUUUUUAGAUUAUCAUGUCUGCUAAGAAUAAUACUAUUUACAAAUAUUCUAGGAUUAUUAUUUCAAUAAAAGUAUUAUUAUUAAAGCACAACGGUUGUUGGAGUUGAGAGGACAUAGUUAUCUUUAGAUACUUUUUUAGCUUUGUUAGAACGCACAACAAAUAUUAAAUGUGACGGAUUAUACUUUUAGGACCCAUUAUUCAUAGAUGUUCAUAUUUAGAAAUAAUGUUUUUAUUUAUAUAAAAAAUUAAUUAUUUGACUUUAUUUGUUACACAAAAUAUUUUCAGAUUAUCAUAAUUUUAAUUUUUUUUUAUUCUUUUAAUAUGAAUUGUUAUUUUAAUAAUGGGGUUACACAAGAAACUUUAAUUUGGACUUGUAGCCUAGAAAAAGUCACUAAAGUUUGUACCGUGAAGCUUAAUGCAGGUUUUAAGUUUCGAAGAAUUUGACAAGGUUGUCUUGUAUUAUAUAUGUCUAAGUUGAAUAGUUUGAUAAGGUUGUUUUGUAUUAUAUAUGUCUAAGUCGAAUAGUUUGAUAAGGUUGUCUUGUAUUAUAUAAAGCAUAAAUGAUAAUAGAAGCACUAUAUUGAAUAGUCCAACACACCUUAAUUUGAACUUGUGGCCUAGAUGUCACUAAGGUUGGUGCCGUGAAGCUUAAUACCGGUUUAAGUUUCCAAGAAUCUGAUAAGGUUGUCUUUUGUUAUAUGUCUUUUGUACCACUGUCAUUAUUGUUUUGAGGAGAGGAUAUAAAUGCGUUUAGUUGAACCUGAUAGAGUGUAAAUGAAAUUGAAGAAACUAUAGGUUAUUUUAAUUAGGUCAAAGAAGUUUUUAGUCUUUUGUUAAAUUUUAGAUUUAAUUUUGAGUCUCAUCUCCUUUGAAUUAUUUAUUCAUUUUUAGACCUUUUUAUAUUUAUUUCUAAUAAUUAGUGGCUAAGAGAGUGAAAAUGACAUAAAAAAGACCGAAAUUUAACUUUGAAUAGAUUAAUUAUGAUUAUUAAAAAUAAAUAAGAGUUUAAAAUAAAAAAUAAAUGACUAAAAUUCAAAAUCUGAAAUUCUAUGUAGAUUAACAACUUAUUUAGCACUUUUAUUAUUAUAAAAAUAAAAUUGAUAAUUAUUUAGAGCUUAUAGGUUGGAAUUGUUGGAUUACAAUAAUAUCUUAUUUAUAAUUUUCUGAAACUUUAUUUUGAUUUGUGCAUACAGAAUAUGGGCUUAGCUGUUUUAGCUCAAUCGGAGUCUAUAGAUUUCGUAAAAAAAAUCAUAAGUCUCACCCAUAAUGAUCUUAUUAUUUUUUUUCAUGAUUACCUUUUGAUAAAAUAUACAUAUAAUCUAUAAAAAAGCAUAGUGAACAGGUAGAUGAAUGAAUACUUAUAAUAAUUAAUAUUUAAGAUAGGGAGUGGAAACUUGAACUAAGGGACCUCAUUUUUCCUUUUAAAAAAUUGUGUGAAAAAACAUAGACUUUGACUGAGAAACCCAGUUUUUCUCCCUUUCUAUCUGGUUUCCGCACCUGAUUGCAAAAUCAAAAAAUAUAAAUUAAAACUGUAAGCAUAAACUAAAAGAUAAACCGAAGUGUAGUUUGUUAAAAUCACAAUUCUUUCCCCAACAAAAGAAAAUAAUGCUCCAAGGGAAUUCCAUAUUGAUCACACUGUUACUAAUGCUACUUCUUAUCAGAAAUGGCAACUGUCAGAACAAGUGCAAUAAGGAAUUGUCUUGUGGGCCUGACGAACCCCUUAUUAGAUUCCCCUUCCAACUGGUGAAGGGGAUGAAAGAUGAAUGUGCUAAUCCCGGGUUUUGUUUAUAUUGUACUCAAAAAAAUGAAACCAUGGUUGUGCUCUCUACAAUAGAAUUCCAUGUCCUUUUCAUAAACUACAAACGUAACUACUUUAGGUUGAGGGACCCAGAAAAUUGUCUUCCGAACAAGUUUCUACAAAUCAACAAUUUUUUUCUUCAGCACAACCAACUUGAACUAGGAUUUCCUGGACAUGAAGGAACAAACAACUUGAGCUUCUUUAACUGUUCUUCAGUUGGGCAUAGAUACCUCACAAGAUGGGUUUGUUAUAGUGAAUACGUUGUUGGUCAACAAGAUAUGAUCUCCUGUCCGAUUCACGUGUCUAGAUAUUACGACAGUGUCCUCGAAUGGGAUCUAACAUCCUGUACCAAGAUGUUCGACACCAUUUCGCCAGUUGAGGCAUACGACCUGCAGUCGAAUUCUUUGAAUAUGAGAUGGUCCAUACCAAAUUGUACUAAGUGCGAAGCAAAAGGCAAGAGAUGUAAAUGGAAGAACAACAACACAGAAGGAGACAUUGAAUGUUUUGACUGCAAACCGAAAAGAAUCCAUGUUCCCCAAUCUUUUAUUUUCGCUACUACAGGUUAGACCAGACUCUUUCACACUACUUCAUUGAAUGUUAUAGGUUCUGAAACUAUUUUAGACUUUUGAGUUUAGGCUUAACUCGAUUUAAAAGUUAGUUAAAGGUUGUUCUUUAUUUAUAUAUUUUAUUUUCACUGUAUCACAAGUGGAUGUAAAAUAUCUCACUCAUUUAAAUUAAGUAUGCUACUGUUAUUGUAGGCUCAAUUUUUUUGGGGCUGGUGGUCAUUGUUGUCUUUAAGAUAGCCCUCUAUUUUAGACAGAAAGAAGACGACCAAGCAAGAGUGGCCAAGUUUUUAGAGGAUUACAGGGCAGAAAAGCCUGCAAGAUUUACCUAUGCUGAUUUGAAAAGAAUCACUGGUGGCUUUAAAGAAAAGUUAGGGGAAGGAGCUCAUGGAGCUGUAUUCAGAGGAAAACUUUCAAAUGAGAUUCUAGUGGCUGUGAAGAUCCUCAAUAAUAAAGAGGGAGAAGGGAAGGAGUUCAUUAAUGAAGUGGGAAUCAUGGGAAAAAUUCAUCACAUCAACGUGGUUCGUUUGCUUGGCUUCUGUGCAGAAGGAUUUCAUCGUGCUCUUGUCUACAAUUUGUUUCCAAACGGAUCCUUACAACGAUUUAUAGUUCCACCGGACAACAAGGACCAUUUCCUUGGCUGGGAGAAGCUGCAAAAGAUUGCUCUUGGUAUAGCUAAAGGGAUUGAGUAUCUUCAUCAAGGUUGUAAUCAACCCAUUAUUCAUUUUGACAUCAAUCCUCACAAUGUGCUACUUGAUGACAACUUCACUCCAAAAAUUUCUGAUUUUGGCUUAGCCAAAUUGUGUUCCAAGAAUCCUAGUUUGGUGUCCAUGACAGCUGCAAGAGGAACCGUGGGAUACAUUGCACCUGAAGUUUUCUCCAGAAACUUUGGGAAUGUGUCUUAUAAGUCUGAUAUUUACAGUUAUGGAAUGUUAUUGUUAGAAAUGGUUGGAGGAAGAAAGAAUGUAGACAUGUCUUCUGCCCAAGAUUUCCAUGUUUUGUAUCCGGAUUGGAUCCAUAACCUGAUUGAUGGAGAUGUACAUAUCCAUGUUGAGGAUGAAGUUGAUAUUAAAAUUGCAAAGAAAUUAGCAAUUGUUGGACUUUGGUGCAUUCAGUGGCAGCCAGUCAAUCGUCCAUCUAUAAAAUCUGUCAUACAAAUGUUAGAAACUGGAGAGGAAAACCAGUUAAAUGUGCCUCCUAAUCCAUUCAACUCAACCACUUCAACUAUUACUAGUGGACACACUAGAGUUACAAGACGACCUUUGGAGUUAGAAGUUAUUCAAGAAUGAUUUAUAGUGGGAGAAAAUAAAUAGUUUAAUUUGUAGAAAAGUAGUAGAUGUAUGUAUUUUAUGUAAUAUGAUUAAAUCCAACCCAUUGUGUUUAAGCGUACUUUUUCUACUAAGAAGGAAAGUUGUGGUGUGUUUGAAUUAACUAUAUGAAAAUAAAUUAAACUAUUAAACAAUUAUUAUUUUAAUUGAUGGUACAAUUUUUUUUUAUAUUUGGAUACGUUUGGUGAAAUGUGAUUUUCAAAUAAUCUUUUUCAUUUGAGAUAUUUAAAAUGGUCGAUUAUGCUAAAAAAAUUGAUAAAUAUUUUACUAUAUUAUAUAUAUAUAUAUAUAUAUAUAUAUAUAUAUAUAUAUAUAUAUAUGAAGCAAAUUUUAAUCGAAAAAAAAUUAGUAGUAAUAUAUUAUUAAAUCUAAAACUUGAAAAAAUAAAUAAUAAAAGGAAAUUUUAAAUAAUUAACAAUUUCACACUUUUUCAAAUAUAUAAAAUAGGUAUUAAAUAAUGACAAAAUUCUUUGUCAUGGAGACAAACUAAAAAAAAAGAACAAUAAGAAAAGCUCUUUUAAGAAAUGACUUUUAAAUCUACAACAUAUUAAAUUAAAUUAAAUUUAAAAUGAUUAUUAAUUAGAUCAUUUUUCAAAAGUAUUAUAUAAUGUUGAAAUUAUUUUUGUUGGACAAGUGACCUCAAAAAUUUAAGAGGGGGUGAAUUAAGUCUUAAAAAAAUUUCCAUUAACAAAUUUUAACCUCCUUUUAAAUGAUAUAUGAUGGACUGAGAAUGCAGAAGAAGAAUAAACAAUCAAUUUAACAAUAUUUUUUUAAAUGUGCAAGACAAAGUAAACUACAGUGAAAUAAUUGAGAGAAGGAAAGAGAGAAAUGCAAACUCAAUUUAGACUGGUUCGACCACUUUCCGUGCCUAUGUCCAAUCCUCAAGCAACUCACUUGAGAUUUUCCACUAUCUCUGUAAACCCUUUACAGACUUUGAACACAUCUUGAGAUCUCUUACCCUUGUGUACAUGAUUCUCCAAGAGACAACCCGUCUCUUGAUUAUAUUUCUCACAAUCCAAGAGACAAUCAUUCUCUUGAUUACAACUCAGUUUAUGAUAUGAAUAUAAAGAUUUCUCUCUUUUAUAGUAAAUGAUAAAAAAUGAAGAUCCUAGAGGAAUGUCUCUCUUUAGAGAUAAUAAUAUAAAUUGAAGUUCUUAGAUGAAUUAUCAAUAGAUUUGUAAGUGUUUGUCCAAUAAUUAUUGAGAGAGCAUUUGACAAUUAAGUUCUCUUAGAAUAUCUGCUUUUCGAAGUCAGACACACGUAUAUAUUGGCCCAUUGUGACUUUUCAAAAUGAUUUGAAGAGAUGUGUCUUUUCAAAAAGCUUUUCUAAAAUUUUCUCAUUGGAAAUCAAUUACAGAUUUCUGAUAAUCGAUUACAAAAUUCAAAUUUCAAAACUCUUUUUAAAAGCUGAUUUGCAAACUUGUCUUCUAGUAAUCGAUUAUACUACGUGGUAAUUGACUACCAAAGCCUUUGAUCUCUUGGAAAAAAUUUGUUUUAAGGCAAAUACCAAUCAACCAAUAAGAUUGUUUGAGGCCUUAUCUUCUUCUUGAUCUUGUUUGCUUAACCUUGAGUUAAUCUUGAAGUAAUGAUUAACCUUUGAAUAUUUGUUGAAGCAAACUUGUUUGAUUCUACUUUGACAUCAUCAAAACUCUCUAUUCAUACAUUCAAAUUCUUCCCCUUUUUUAUGAGGACAAUCAUUAUCAAGUGAAUUCUUUUUGGCAUCAUCAAAACUUGAAUGAUUCACAUUCUCCUCUUUUAUGAUAAUGACAGUCAUUAUCAAUUGAAUUCUUUUCGGCAUCAUCAAAACCUGAAACCUGCAUGAUUCACAUUUUCUCUCCUUUUUUAUGAUGACAAUUAUAUGUAGGUUAGAAGUAAAAAAAUAUCUAUGUGAAUCAUUUACUCCCGCUUGAUUUUACAAUGAUUGCAUAUAUAAAAAAAUUGUCUCAAAAGAAUUAUAUAUAUAUAUAUAUAUAUUAUAUUCAAAAUUUUAUUAGAAAUAUUUUUUAAAAAUUGUAUAUUGAAUCAUCAAUGCGUGUAAUUAAAUUCUUUUUUCAAUAUAAUUAGUUAUGUUAAAUUUGAUUAUGCCUAAUCAACAACUUUGUGUGAAUCUGAUUUCAUAAUAUAUAUUAUAAACUUAAAUUUUAAUUUUUGAAAUUAUAAAAUUAAUAUAUUAAUGCAAGCAAUUUAACAUUCAUUUUUUACUUCAUUAAACAUAAUUAGCUUUAUAUAUUAUUAAAUUAAUUUAAAAUUGAUUAAAUAAUAUCUUGUUAAAUUUGUUUGAAUUAAUUCAAAAUUAAUUAAAUAAUAUUUGAUUAGACUUAAAGUUCAUUAUAUUAUAUGACAUGACAAAAACAGUUACAUGUCAAUAAAUAGAUGCAUGAAUCAAUCUUAUAUCUCCUAAUUACUAAUUAUGAUUAAUUUCAUAAAUUUCUUGAUUGUUAGUACAUUUUUACGGUGUAAGCCUAAAUUGCUAGCUUAUAACACAAUCCUAGCUUUGGUAGAAUUAUAUGCUAACACUUACAAGUAACACGUACACAUUCAAGUAGAAUCAUUUUAUAUCAUGAUUACAUAUCAGGGAACUUUGAACAAAAUCUUAAAUUUUGGUGACCAUUUUUUUAAACUAUAAAAGAUAAAACAAUAGGAAAUCUUUUAGAUAAAAUAAAUAUUAUAGAUGAAUAGGUGUUCAAGACAAUAAGGUGGAUACAAAUACAUAUUGUGCAUUAUCAAAUAGCAUCCUCUACAAAAGGAUUAGUCACAAUUUCCUUGGAAUAACUAGAAGAACUAAUGAAGUCUGUUGACAUUGUUUGACUAGAGUAGAUGCUUUGAUCAUUUUCCAUUGUCUCAUGUGGAUAUAGAGAAGGCUUUGGUGGUAUUUCCAGGCUUUCAAUGUUUCCUUCAAGCAUUUCCACUACUUUGUUCAUUGAGGGGCAAUCGCUUGAUUUCAACGGUAUACACCAAAGUAAAACAAUGAUAAUCUUUUUUGCUAUUUUAUUUUCUUACUCUCUUACACAUUCCAUUUCUAUAUCUGUCUCUUUUCCAAGUUGAUUAUAAAUCCAAAAGGGAAAGCAAAGUUGACUUGAAAAUAAAUUAUACUAUUAAACAAUUAUAAUUUUAAUUGAUGGUACAAUUUUUUUUAUAUUUGGAUACGUUUGGUGAAUGUGAUUUUCAAAUAAUCUUUUUCUUUUGAGUUAUUUAAAAUGAUCGAUUAUGCUAAAAAAUUGAUAUAUAUAUAUAUAUAUAUAUAUAUAUAUAUAUAUAUAUAUAUAUAUAUAUGAAGCAAAUUUUAAUCGAAAAAAAAUUAGUAGUAAUAUAUUAUUAAAUCUAAAACUUGAAAAAAUAAAUAAUAAAAGGAAAUUUUAAAAUAAUUAACAAUUUCACACUUUUUCAAAUAUAUAAAAUAGGUAUUAAAUAAUGAGAAAAUUAUUUGUCAUGGAGACAAGCUAAAAAAAAGAACAAUAAGAAAAGCUCUUUUAAGAAAUGACUUUUAAAUCUAUAAUAUAGAAGUUGAUCAAAAUAAAUUCAUUUGACAAAUAUAAAUGUGGUUUUAAAAUAAUCAUUUUCAUUUGAGUUAUUUUAAAAAAAAUCGGUUUUAUAUUUGGACAUGUUUGGUGAAAAUAUAUUUUUAAAGUAAUCUAUAUCAUUUGAAUUAUUUAAAAGAAUUUCUUUUUUAAAAAAUCUUUGAUAAAAAAAACAUAUCUAUAUUGUAACUAUAUAAACAAUUUAAAAGUACGAAAUUAAAGAUAAAUGUUGAAAAGCAUAUUAAAUAAAAUUAAAAUUUAAAAUAAUUAUUAGUUAGAUAAUUUUUCAAAAGUAUUAUAUAACAAUGAUUUUUUUAAAUGCGCAAGACAAAGUAAACUAUAGUAAAAUAAUUGAGAGAAGGGAAGAGAGAAAUGCAAACUCAAUUUAUACUGGUUCGGUCACUUCCCGUGCCUACCUCUAGUCCUCAAACAACUCACUUGAGAUUUUCCACUAUCUCUGUAAAUUCUACAGACUUUGAACACACAUUGAGAUCUCUCAUCCCUGUGUUCAAGAUUCUCCAAGAGAUAAUCCAUUUCUUGAUUAGAUUUCUCACAAUCCAAGAGACAAUCAGUCUCUUGAUUACAACUGAGUUUCUGAGAUGAAUAUAAAAAUUUCUUUCCUUUAUAGUAGAUGACAAAAAUUGAAGAUCCUAGAGGAAUUUUUCUCUUUUAGAGAUAAUAAUACAAAUUGAAGUUCUUAGAUGAAUUCUCAAUAGAUUUGCAAGUGCUUACCUAAUAAUUGUUGAGAGAGUAUUUGACAAUUAAGUUUUAUUAGAACAUCUCUCUUGCUUUUCGAAGUCAGACACACAUAUAUAUAGGCUCAUUGUACCUUUUCAAAAUGAUUUGAAGAGAUGUGUAUUUUCAAAAAACUUUUCUAAAAUUUUCUUACUGGUAAUCGAUUACAGAUUUCUGUUAAUCGAUUAUACAGUUAUAUUUUGAAGGGUCAUGACUUUUCAAUUUGAAUUACAAGAGUUCUGUUACUGGUAAUCGAUUACAAAUAUUUGAUAAUCGAUUACAAAAUUCAAAUUUCAAAUUUCAAAACUCUUUUUAAAAGUUGAUUUGUAAACUUGUCCUCUGGUAAUCGAUUAUACUGCCUGGUAAUCGAUUAUCAGAGCCUUUGAUCUCUUGAAAAAAUUUGUUUUAACGCAAAAAUCAAUUAACCAGUGAGAUUGUUUAAGGCCUUAUCUUUUUCUUGAUCUUGUUUGCUUGACCUUGAAUUAAUCUUGAAGUAAUGGUUAACCUUUGAAUAUUUGUUGAAACAACCUUGUUUGAUUCUACUUUGACAUCAUCAAAACUUUGUAUUCAUACAUUCACAUUCUCUGCCUUUUUUAUGAUGAUAAUCAUUAUCAAGUGAAUUCUUUUUGGCAUCAUCAAAACCUGUAUGAUUCACAUUCUUCCCCUUUAUGAUAAUGACAAUCAUUAUCAAGUGAAUUCUUUUGGGCAUCAUCAAAACCUGAAACCAGCAUGAUUCACAUUCUUCCCCUUUUUUGAUGAUGACAACCAUCUGUAGGUUAGGAGUAGAAAAAUAUCUACAUGAGUCGUUUACUCUCCAUUAAUUUUGCAAUGAUUGCAUAUAUAAAAAAAUUUGUCUCAAAAGAAUUAGAUAAUUCACUAUCUUAUCUUUUAUCUAUUUCUCCCCCUUUCAAAUAAAAAAAAAGAUUCAUGAAUUUUUUAACCAUGUUGAAGUUUUAAAUAUCUUUAUGAAUUAAUAUUUGCAUAAAAUAUUAUAUAUAUAUAUAUAUAUAUAUAUAUAUAUAUAUAUAUAUAUUCAAAAUUUUAUUAGAAAUGUUUUUUAAAAAUUGUAUAUUGAAUCAUCAUCAAUGUGUGUGAUUAAAUUCAUUUUUCAAUAUAAUUAGUUAUGUUAAAUUUGAUUAUGUCUAAUCAACUACUUUGUGUGAAUAUGAUUUCGUAGUAUAUAUUAUAAACUUAAUUUUUAAUUUUUGAAAUUAUAAAAUUAAUAUAUUAAUGCAAGCAAUUUAACAUUCAUUUUUGAUUUCAUUAAACAUAAUUAGCUUUAUAUAUUAUUAAAUUAAUUUAAAAUUGAUUAAAUAAUAUCUUGUUAAAUUUGUUUGAAUUAAUUCAAAAUUAAUUAAAUAAUAUUUGAUUAGACUUAAAGUUCAUUAUAUUAUAUGACAUGACAAAAGCAAUUACAUGUCAAUAAAUAAAUGCAUGAAUUAAUCUUAUAUCUCCUAAUUACUAAUUAUGAUUAAUUUCAUAAAUUUCUUGAUUGUUAGUACAUUUUUACAGUGUAAGCCUACAUUGCUAGCUUAUAACACAAUCCUAGCUUUGGUAGAAUUAUCUGCUUAAACUUACAAGUAACACAUACACAUUCAAGUAAAAUGAGUUUAUUUCAUGAUUACAUGUCAGGGAACUUUGAACAAGAUCUUAAAUUUUGGUAAUCCAUUUUUUUAAACUAUUAAAGAUAAAACAAUAGGAAAUCUUUUAGAUAAAAUAAAUAUUAUAGAUGAAUAGGUGUUCAAGACAAUAAGGUGGAUACAAAUACAUAACUACUGUGCAUUAUCAAAUAGUAUCCUCUACAAAAGGAUUAGUCACAAUUUCAAUUCCUUGGAAUAACUAGAAUAACUAAUGAAGUCCGUUGACAUUGUUUGACUAGAGUAGAUGCUUUGAUCAUUUUCCAUUGUAUCAUGUGGAUAUAGAGAAUGCUUUGAAGGUAUUUCCAGGCUUUCAAUGUCUCCUUCAAGCAUUUCCACUACUUUAUUCAUUGAGGGGCAAUCGCUUGGUUUCAACUAUAUACACCAAAGUGAAAUAAUGAUCAUCUUUUUUGCUAUUUUAUUUUCCCCCUCUGUGACACCUUCCAUUUCUAUAUCUAUCUCUUUUCCAAGUUGAUUAUAAAUCCAAAAGGGAAAGUAAAGUUGACUUGAAUGAUCUGCAUGGGAAUUUAGGUUUUUCCUCUUACUUGCCAUCUCCAUCAAAAGCAUCCCAAAGCUAUAAACAUCAGCCUUGUGGGAUAUUCCUCCAAUAUUUUUAUAAAAUAAUUCUGGAGCCAUAUACCCAAUUGUCCCUCUUGUCGCUGUCAUAGUCACAAUGCUAUUAUCUAUUGGAUAUAGUUUAGCCAAUCCAAAGUCAGAGACCUUUGGGGUGAAUGUUUCCUCAAGA
rnacentral:lncRNA from 1 species